rnacentral:lncRNA from 1 species
UAGAUGGUGUCCCUGCGGAUCAAUGCGAAAUUUUGAACUAGUUACAUGAUGUCUUACCCCGUAUCUUUUAGGAAGUUUUUUUGCUCAAACCUCCUGUUGCUGUCGGUAUGCAGUAUCUGGGUGCACAAACCGGUGGUGGAUCAGUGUGAAAGAUUGUUUUAUGUUUCUCAUCAAUGUGAGAUUGUUUUAUGGUUAUCUGGUUGUUGUUUCAGAUUUUGUCUAGUUGGUGUUUCUUCCGCAACACAUUGCGAUGUUUGUCUGUCGUCUCCGUAGAACCUUUCUCAUGCCCUUGUAACUGGGUGUUAAUCGAUCUGCCGCACGGCCUUCAAAAUGCGGCCUUGAGCUGGUUAUUAAUUGAACGGCCGUGGCCGCCAAUCGUGCCUUUAAGAUUACAACACGCAAGCACAUUCUGGAAACGAUCAAUUGAAUUGAAAGUUUGACCCCGUGGAUUUUGCUUUCAGAUAUUGAAAAAUUCCAUCAGCAACCACAACUCUAAUAAUUAACUGUAGCUUUGCUAAUUUCAAUAUGGUUAAUGUAAACUCUAAUAAAAAAAUCUUAUUGAAUGUUAUUUGAGCACAUUAUGCUUAAAUUUGUUGGAUUCUCUGGGUUGAUUUUCUUUCUUUUAUCAACAAAAAGAAGGUAGUUACAAUUAUUAAAAAAAAUCAAUACAUUUCAGCGAAAAUCCAUUUCUGCACCCAUGCUCAUCUGCACCGGCGCCGAAGAAAAAAAUCAAAACAAAUACUAGAAAAAUUCAAAAAAUUCCAUUUUUUCUUUGUGGGGUAGACAAUUUGAUGCGUGAGGUCCGAUCCAAUUUUCAAAUCAUUUGGACAUCUGAGGAGCUCUCAGGAAAAAAAAAUUUGGGGGUCUGUAAAAAUGUUUACUGUUCAUGUACUGUUUUGGUCUAAUUUGUCUUUUUUGCUGAGAGCUGCUCAGAUGUCCAAAUGACUUGAAAUUUGUAGCGGACCUCACACAUCAAAUUGUCUACCACACAAAUUUUAUUUGGAAUUUUUUGAAUUUGUUUUGAAUUUUUUACGAAUUUUUUUCUAACCGGGUGCAGAUGAGCGUGGCACCAAAACGCCCUGCUCUACAUUUCAGUGACUUCAAGUCUUUGUAUAUACAGUAUAAGAUUAGAAAUAUGGAAAUAAUAGGUAAUACAGAUGUUGAUAUACACAUACAGAAAUGUAUCAGUGUCUAACUUAUCAUGUGUUAGAGAAAGAGGAUUUGUGGCUCUCGCGUGUUAAACACCCUUAUAUGAAUAUAGCAUUAAAAAACAAAUUAGGAAAUUUUGAAAAGUUCUGAAAUUUUGGGAUGGAACCUAGGUGCCCGUUGUACACUCACGUUCAGUUUCAUGGGGAAGGGGUGCCCGAGGUAAUGUCAGUAAAAAGACAAAAAAAAUCGUAUGUGUAGAAAAAAACUGGAUGUAACGUAUGUCGGACCAUAAUUCCUGCGCCGUGGAUACCACGGACACCGAUUCUCCAUGAAAAUGAACAAGGGUGUACGAUGGGCACCCAGAUUUCAUAUCCAAAUAUUUUCAAAUUCUUUGGAUAUUUUCUGAUAUUUUUUUAAUGCUAUUUAUAUAUAGGGGUGUGUGGCACCGGGGUGCUCCGAUGCAUUUCUCGUGUUAUGCAGCGAAGGGGUAGGAUGCCCUCACAAUACGAGAGCCACUGAGAUAAAACACCAACCAAGCAACAUAGAAGGAUAACAUGCACACAGACAUCCCGCUAGGGAUGCCAGCUAUAUGAGAGAAGUACAAGGCAUGAACAAAGCACGGUAACUAAAGGGGCUUGCUUGAUCACGAGGACGAGCUACAAGAUGCCCCCUUGAUCUAGACAUAAGUCAACCUUGGGCGCCCUUGUUAUUGAAGAAGAGCAGGCAACGCUCGCCGACGCCGCGUCGGCAAGCGUAUACGUCGAUCCUGUCUCCCACGGAGAUACGGCUAUCCCUCAGGAACUCCCUCAACCCAGGCCCAAAGAUCCGGUAGGCCAUGAUGGCAUUGUCGUACUGGAGCGCUGCCACCUUCUCGUCGCCGGCCUCAACGUCGAUGAGGACGGGCACCGCCAGCACGUUCGGCAUGCCGUUGUGGCCAACCUGCUCCAGCUCCCGGAACAGCCUCGGGAUGGGGCCAUCCUGCACCAUCCCCCGGGUAAGCAGCAGCCCGUUCUGGCCUGGAGCGACGUCUGGCCACCGCAUUACCUUGGAGAGCGCCCACUCGGCCCCGUACACGCCAACGGCGGCCAUCCGCAUCUGGUGACGCCGGCGGACGAAGGAGGGCUCGGCCACGAGGGCGUGCCACCGCUUGCACGUCGUGGCGCAACGAAGGAGGGUAGCUGCAUCAGCGACGUGUGUGAGAAUCUCCAGGACGACGUCUUCCGGGAGCUCCGUCCGUUUGAUCUCCGCCCACGGAUUGAUCAUAUCGAAAGAGCCAAACCCUUGGCCAAACGUAUGUCUGUGCUUUUAUUUUUCUUCUAACAACUCAAUUUCAUGAUCUCGAGUCUCUAACAAAAGCACUCGUACCGAUCCUACACCGAAGACGACGACUCGAACAACAACUCCUGGUGUCGCAGGAACAAGGCCAAAGACACAAGUGCAUACGGCAACACUUCCUAAUCCAGUCUUGCUAAGUCUCAGUCGAUGAUAUAUUCAUGAGAUCUUACAUUAAGAUUCGUAUAAUAUUUUUUUCAGAUUUUUUCUCUUUUACAUGUAAUAUCACUUGAUUAAGACUUGGUUAAAUCUCAGUCGACUAAGACCUAGCCACAUCCUCCUAAUUAACCCGACCCUAAUUAGUCAACUAAGAUCUAGCCACGUCCUCCUAAUUAACCCGACCCUGAUCCGUACUAGGACUACCCGGCAACCUGCUUAACUAACACUGGAUAAUUUCCUAACGUUACCCAGGAAGACGGAUGCUCCAAGACUUGUUCGUGUAAGACUUCAACAUUACCUACGCCAACUAGACUCAACACUAAAUCAAGAUUAUGGCAACACCAUCUUCGACCUGAACGCUGGAGGGCGGGCAAUGUGCACGUGCAGGUCCGAUUCUCAAAAGACCGAGGCCGAUCUUUAUUAAGAUAGGGAAAAGGAGAAUUUACAUAGUGGCAAAGGCCGCCAAUAUUAGGGCAUCUUCAACUGUGACCCGUAAAUUUGUUCGGGCAUCCGUCGGUGAAUAAGAGGACCAGUCCGCAGACAUGAAUAUGGGAGCCGGUCAUACAACGCUGCUCGCAUACAUCUGAAGCCGGGUUUAAACUAGUCGGAAAAAAAUCAUGCAAACACGACGGGUUUUCAUAUAAAUCGGACGAAAUUCAUUACAUUUUGAACAUUUUUCAUUAAUAAAAUGGUCAACCCUAAAACACUUCCUUUGUAUUCAGUAUCGGCAACCACGUCCUCUGCCAUCUCCAUAAACGACGGCAGGGUUCAAGACUCGUGAAGUGGAGGUGCGGUCUUCGUUGAGGAAGAGUAAAACAUCGGAGACGGACCGGCCCACUUGGGACACAAUGCCCUGCCGCCUCCAAUGCCCUUCUCAUCCUCAGAUGAGUCCGCGACCUGUCCGUCCCCGGCGUCGGUGGACACGAGGUCGAUGAUGGACGUGGACGGUCCUUCACCGUCCAGCUGUCACGUGCGCCCCUGAAAGUUGAACGGUGGCGCGUGUUGGGAAAUGUAGUACUCCCUCUGUCCCACAAUAUAAGAACGUUUUUUACACUAGUGUAGUGUCAAAAACGUUCUUAUAUUAUGGGACGGAGGGAGUAGAAAAUAAAAAAAAUCGCCCUACGAUCACCCAGGAACAAUAUGAAGAUGCAUUAACGAUUUGGAUUCGAUAGUUACCGACUCCGAGUUGCAACAAAAAAUUACGAGUCGGUGUAGAUCGUACUUGGAGUCCCUCGAAGCGUAGAUGAACGAUCUCACGAACUGUCCACGAACAGUCCCUCGAACGAAGAACCGAAAGCAUGACCUCUCUACGAGUUGCAAGCGUACAAUCUUCACGAUCCGGCAAUGCUUCCAGAGCUAAUCGUCGUCGGAUAAUUAAAGAGAAGAGAUUAGAACCACACUAAACUUGUAAUUAUGAGGAUUAGACGAACUAGAUGAAUCUCUAAUUUAUUAAUUAGGACCGACUAGAACUAGAGAACUAGAGGAGGCUUCCAAACUUUUAUGUAUAAAAGUGCCCAAAGCCUCUAGUAUAUAUAGGUUGAAGUGGAGGAGGGGACCGCCNNNNNNNNNNNNNNNNNNNNNNNNNNNNNNNNNNNNNNNNNNNNNNNNNNNNNNNNNNNNNNNNNNNNNNNNNNNNNNNNNNNNNNNNNNNNNNNNNNNNNNNNNNNNNNNNNNNNNNNNNNNNNNNNNNNNNNNNNNNNNNNNNNNNNNNNNNNNNNNNNNNNNNNNNNNNNNNNNNNNNNNNNNNNNNNNNNNNNNNNNNNNNNNNNNNNNNNNNNNNNNNNNNNNNNNNNNNNNNNNNNNNNNNNNNNNNNNNNNNNNNNNNNNNNNNNNNNNNNNNNNNNNNNNNNNNNNNNNNNNNNNNNNNNNNNNNNNNNNNNNNNNNNNNNNNNNNNNNNNNNNNNNNNNNNNNNNNNNNNNCCCGUGCACACACACAAUGGAAAGGCGCCUCCCCUAUUAGGCCUAUGUAGUCCAAUUCUCCUUCCACCAUUUGGCCUUUUAAGACCUGUUGAUCUUAAAUUAAAUAUAAACUCCUCCUAACAAUUGUUAGAGAUUAUUAUUAUUAUUUUAACAUCACCGGAAAACAGUUUCCACAUACAUAUUAUUUAUCGGUAAUACCCGGUAUUGCCCGAUAAACUUUAAUACUCUUCCGGUGACCCUGAAAUGCUUCUGGUUCCUCUUGAAACUAUUCUGAAUAUUAAUGAAACUAUUUCACUAAUAAAUUAUCGAUACUCCUGUCCUACUAACACUCAGCAGAUCAUGAUUACCUUAACCCUGUGGCACUGUAGGUCCGGUAAAACAUAGACAUGAACGAAACUCCUUCGUUCAAUGAUCGACAUCAGAACCGUGGACGUUCGUAUCAAUCCCUAUAAUCACAAGAAUGACAUUCGAGUUAACCUUUUGUUAUUAUGUGAUUUUCCUUUGCUUCACGAUACUUUUCAAAACCUGAGGUGAGAUAUGUCGCUAUCCUCUUGAGUCAUACACAUGCUCACUAUACCGGUCUUCUCAUUGCUGGUUUUGUUCUUCUUUCUCGUUGACAUGUUCCGGCAUCCCCGUGAGUGGUCAUCUGUGUCUAGCCAGGUGAUUGAUGGAUGUCGUCACACCGAGAAAACCCUAAAAAUAUCUCUCCAUCGUCGGAGGAGAAAAAUCCACUCUUAAGCUAUCAAGUCCCAUGUCAAACUUUUCCGAUGAACCAGUAAGUUGUCGUUAUGAUCACUGUGUUACAGAUGACGUUUGAGCAACCCCAAAGCUCAUCAUACUGUAAAAAGUGACUAUGAUACUCUCACGAUCCAAGGAACUAAAACACACAUUAACACCCCGUGUUAUAACAAUUGACUUAUGACGAUAUUAUUUUUGGGUAAAAAUCAAAUUUAUGAGUAGUUAAUAUUUUUGACAAAUUUUGAGCGCUAAUUCUAAAAGGGCGCUGCUACGCGUCGGCCGGCAAAGAUCCGUCGUCUUGCGAACCGUUGGAUCUGAUGGAUUGAGCUGCCAAUGUCACGUUCUACCAUCGCAACACAGGUCAUGUUGCAAGAAUUUUCUGCAGCACAGGUCAUGUUGCAGUUUUUUUUUGCAACCGAAGUCUUGUUGCGGAAAUAUUUUUGCAACAGAGGUCUUGUUGCAUAUAUUUUCUGCAACAAAGGUGCUGUUGCGGAUUUUUUUUCCAUCUUCACUUUUUUUGCAACAUAGCUGUUGUUGCAAAAAAUUUACAAUGAAAAUCAUGAUUCAAAACGCCACUAUCACCGCCGUUCGUCGUUGUCGUUUGCAAUUCCAUCCUUGCAAUUACAACAUGGGACGAUCAGUGAUGAGCCGAGCCGACGGCCUGCGACGACCGACGACUGUGAUGGAGGCAGCCCACGACUUCCAUUUGUAGUUUUUUUUUUUUUUUUGCGGGGGACUUCCAUUUGUAGUUGGAAGCACAACUUCCCCCGUGACAAGCCGGGGAGUGCCCUCGCAGCUGCAGCCUCACCACCAGAUUUGUGGUGAGCCAUGGUGGCGGAGCUGCAGGACCUGAACGGAGGUAGCCUUGUGGUGCGGCCACGACGCUUGCAGGUGGGCAAGAGAACGGCCGGAAUAAAGAACAAGUCGUUGAGGUUGGAUAAGGCAGAUGAAAAUUUGAGAGGGGCUAGGGGUACCACGUCACGUGGACACGCGUCACACCGGCAAAGCGGCGGAUAGGAGUCUAGAAAUCAGUGGGGUGAUUUCAACCAUUUCCCAUUCUAAAAACCCGAAAUAUUUUUAACCUGAAUCACCCGACCAAAAUUUCCGGGUAAACCCGAAGGCCCGAGGCUGAGCUCUAACAUCAAACCGGGCCGGGCCAACUACACGGCGGAUCCCGCUGCUUCCAUUCCAAGGCGAGAGAGCUCUUCUCCCGAACCGCCUCUCGAUUCGUUACUAGAUUGCGUCAGAUGCGUGCAUUGCAUGCGUGGUUCAUGGUCUUAGGCUUCGUUGUCAAAAUUCCAUCUCCGUCCACGCCGUUCGAAGAACUACUUGAAAUCCUCUAGUAGCAGUAGGAGUAGUAGUAGUUUGUGUAAUUUACUUCAGUUAUGAUAGAGACCAGUGCUAUCUACAACGAUUAGGCCCAAAAGUAGCUGGUGGCAGGAGAUUUUUUCAGUGUACAUUGCUGGUGGCAGUUGCUCCUGUUGUUUAAAAGUUCUGAUGAUGCACUGUGGUUCAGUUUAGUUUGUUAGUCUAUUCGAUAUGCUGUGCUCUGUAACGGCCUUGCAGCAGGGCUUCACCUUUGAAACUCUGUUAUCAGGGGUAAUGCUUCUUGAUAUUGACUGGUCUAUGAGUGCUGAUAUCCUUGCAUUUUAUCUGUAGGAGGAGCUUUGAAGGUUUGCCAGGUCAGAAAAGAUGGUUCUCAAGUAUGUUACUGUCUUUGAUGUCGUGCCGAAAUGCUAAAGAUUUGUAAAAUUGCUUCUUCCAAUCUUACUUACUCCUGCAUUUGUGUUCAUACAGGACAGAGCUCUGCCGUUUCAGCGAUGCAAAGAUAUACCCAGGGAAGGGUAUCAGAUUCAUCCGUUCAGACUGAGGUAAGCCCUUGUGUCUCCUUUCGUUAUUUUGCAUGAAAUGAAAAUAACUGGAAAUUCUCUAACAUUCUGCUGCACCUUCUUUGUGUGUGCCCGAAAUCAGGUAUUCCUUUUCUCGAACUCCAAGUGCAAGCGCUACUUCCACAACCAUCUCAAGCCCGCUAAUCUCACAUGGACGGCCAGGUUCAGGAAGCAGCACAAGAAGGUACAUGCAAAUAAGCCAAUUCCUGUAAUGAUAUACUCCACAUCCUAGUUCAGGAAAUGUUUCAUAAUGUUACUAGUAUGCCGUAUUAGAGGUAUCUGCUUAGGCAGUGUAAGAGGUGCAUUCAUCUGGUUACUAAUUGACUUGCUUAAAUAUUUCACCUGAUGAAUAAUUUCAUUUGUGAGUAGCUAGCGAAAGUCAAAGAAGGUGACAUAUCUAGUAAGUCUCAGGGACUAGAAUGUACCAGUUUACCACAAUAUCAGAUAGUCUGUUGACAACAUAAAUGAUAUGUAUUGCUUAAUCACGUGUAAUUUCCAUUCCUUUGCUUUGCACAAACGGGCGUAUUGUUUCUUAGCUUAGCUCUCUGUUUUAUUGUGUUUUCACCAAUGAUGCUCCAUCACUCGCUGUCCUUGUUUCUAUAAGCAACUACACACUUUAGAGCAUCUCCAAUAGACGGUCCAAAUGUAAAAAUACCUAACUUUUGGACCGUCUGGAGCAAAAAACCCUGCUUCAACAGACGGUCCAUAUGUAAAAAAAUGGACCGCGGCCUCCUCGUGAUAUAAAAUACAACACCUCACAGUGCAAAUUUACAUCACGAGGUGCAUCUGGUCCAAAACCAGACGCCGCCCGCGAACGCCCAACCGCCAGUUCCUUUCCUUUCCCGCCCGCCCGCCCGGCCGCCGCCGCCAUGGCCGAAGGCGACGACCCCGCCGCUUUCUCCGCCGCCGCCGCAGCCGGUGGGCUGACCCACGUGGCCGCCGCCGCCNNNNNNNNNNNNNNNNNNNNNNNNNNNNNNNNNNNNNNNNNNNNNNNNNNNNNNNNNNNNNNNNNNNNNNNNNNNNNNNNNNNNNNNNNNNNNNNNNNNNNNNNNNNNNNNNNNNNNNNNNNNNNNNNNNNNNNNNNNNNNNNNNNNNNNNNNNNNNNNNNNNNNNNNNNNNNNNNNNNNNNNNNNNNNNNNNNNNNNNNNNNNNNNNNNNNNNNNNNNNNNNNNNNNNNNNNNNNNNNNNNNNNNNNNNNNNNNNNNNNNNNNNNNNNNNNNNNNNNNNNNNNNNNNNNNNNNNNNNNNNNNNNNNNNNNNNNNNNNNNNNNNNNNNNNNNNNNNNCGGCCCGGAUUCGCGCCGCCCCGGCCGGUGGCCACCGCGACGGCGGCGAAGGGACGAGGCGGCGGAAAACGGCCGGCCAACCGCAGCCACAACCCGACCGACAGUUCUACGCGGCCGGUGAAGGUCUCCAAGGCGGCCGCGGCGGCUCGGGGCGACAACUCGCAGCCGGUGCGGCCGGCGGCCUCCUCCAGCAACCACACAUCCAUUCCUCAACCUCCCCCGCCAGCCGUGGAGGAAGAUGUGGCCACGCCGAUGGCCACUGCCUCCAACAUGUUCGAGGAAAUGUCGCAAGCUCUCGUUUGUUGUUUCAAAUUGUAUGUGUUCUUGAUUGUUUGUGCGUCCAAUUGUAGUCUUGAUGAUGAAGCUUUCAUGCACGCGACAAAUGUGGCAAAUGAUGAUUACAUAUAUGCGUCACAAGAAUAUGAAACCCAAUAUGAUGAUGACAAUCUUGAUGUGGACGAUGAGGGCUUUGUUGUCAAGGGAAGAAGUGGAAAUUAUACCACCGCGGAGGAUGUGUUGAUAUGCACCGCUUGGAAGAAAAUCUCUCAAGAUGCAAGCGUUGGAAGCGACCAAACGGUGAACACCUAUUGGCAACGCAUCAAGGAGUACUUCGAUGAGCGCAACACAAGUGGUCACUUCCGUUCGAGCGACUCUCUACACCAACGUUGGUCCACCAUCAACGCCGAAUGCCAAAACUGGGCCGGUUGCUUGUCAAACGUUGCUCGCAUGAACCCAAGUGGUUGCGGUGAUAGUGACUUGGUAAAUAUUCCCUCUUCGUGCGUGCUUUGUCAAAUAUUUCCUCUUUGUUCCACAUGUUGAUGAUGAUGUGUUACUUGUUUUAUUGUAGAAAAUGAUUGCACAAGGAUUGUUUCGAGAGAGGAACAUGAAAGGCGAGAAGAAGAAAAGGAAAGGAAAACCUUUCACUUUUCAUCAUUGCUACAAAGAGCUCAAGGAUGAGGAGAAGUGGAAAACUAGAGAGACUUUUGAAUCGCCGAAGAAGAAGAGUGCGGUGCUUGAGGAUGAAGAAGAUGUUGCCAUUGAGGAGACGAGCCCCACUCCUCACUCCGUGACAAAAUCUUAUAGGCCCGAUGGAAACAAGAAAGCGAAGGGAACCAAGGCCGGAGACAAUGAUCUCAAGGAAGGAUUUGAUGGCGAGGAAAGAGAAUGCCGAAGAAAAAGAAUCUUGAAGCUCAAGGAAAUAGAGGAGAGGAGUGAGGCCGAGCGGCGAAGGGCGGCGGCCGAGGAGAAGAGGGCGGCGACCGAGGAGAGGUUGGCCGCGGCCGAGGAGAGGAAGGUGGACCUAGAGGAGAAGAAGGCCGCGGCCGACGAGAUGAAGGUGGUUGAGGAGAGGACUGUUGGGGAACGUAGCAAUAAUUCAAAAUUUUCCUACGUAUCACCAAGAUCAAUCUAGGAGAUGCUAGCAACGAGAGAGAGGGAGUGCAUCUUCAUACCCUUGAAGAUCGCUAAGCGGAAGCGUUACAAGAAUGCGGUUGAUGGAGUCGUACUCGCGGCGAUUCAAAUCGCGGAAGAUCCGAUCUAGCGCCGAACGGACGGCGCCUCCGCGUUCAACACACGUACAGCCCGGGGACGUCUCCUUCUUCUUGAUCCAGCAAGGGGAGAGGAGAAGUUGAGGGAGAACUUCAGCAGCACGACGGCGUGGUGGCAAUGGAGCUCGUGGUUCUCCGGCAGAGCUUCUCUAAGCACUACGUAGGAGGAGGAGGAGUUGGAGGAGGAGAGGGCUGCGCCAGGGAAGAGGUACGGCUGCCCUCCCACCCCUCCACUAUAUAUAGGGGCAAGGGGAGAGGGGAAGGCGCCCUAGGGUUUCCCCUAGGGGGCGGCGGCCAAGCAGAUUGGAUCUCCCUAGGGAAAAUCCUAGGGAGACUUGCCCCCCAAGCCAAGCAGGUGGAGGCUUUCCUCCCAAGUCAGGUGGAGGCGCCCCACCUCCCCAAGUAACGUGGGAAAGGGUGUGGGGGGCGCACCACCCCUUAGUGGGCUGGUUUGCCCCUUCCCCUUUGGCCCAUGAGGCCCUCCAACACUUGCCGGGGCUCCCGAAACACCUUUCGGUCAUGCUGGCCAUAGCCUGGUACCCCCGGAACACUUCCGGACUCCAAUACCCUUCGUCCAAUAUAUCGAUCUUCACCGCCGGACCAUUCCGGAACUCCUCGUGACGUCCGGGAACACAUCCGGGACUCCGAACUACCUUCGGUAACCACAUACUAUUUCCCAUAACAACUCUAGUGUCACCGAACCUUAAGUGUGUAGACCCUACGGGUUCGGGAACCAUGCAGACAUGACCAAGACACCUCUCCGGCCAAUAACCAAUAGCGGGAUCUGGAUACCCAUAUUGGCUCCCACAUGUUCCACGAUGAUCUCAUCGGAUGAACCACGAUGUCGGGGAUUCAAUCAAUCCCGUAUACAAUUCCCUUUGUCUAUCGGUAUGUUACUCGCCCGAAAUUCGAUCGUCGGUAUCCCAAUACCUCGUUCAAUCUCGUUACCGGCAAGUCACUUUACUCGUCCUGUAACGCAUGAUCCCGUGGCUAACUCAUUAGUCACACUGAGCUCAUUAUGAUGAUGCAUUACCGAGUGGGCCCAGAGAUACCUCUCCGUCAUACGGAGUGACAAAUCCCAGUCUUGAUUCGUGCCAACCCAACAGACACUUUCGGAGAUACUUGUAAUGCACCUUUAUAGCCACCCAGUUACGUUGUGACGUUUGGUACACCCAAAGUAUUCCUACAGUAUCCGGGAGUUGCACAAUCUCAUGGUCUAAGGAAAUGAUACUUGACAUUAGAAAAGCUCUAGCAAACGAACUACACGAUCUUGUGCUAUGCUUAGGAUUGGGUCUUGUCCAUCACAUCAUUCUCCUAAUGAUGUGAUCACGUUAUCAAUGACAUCCAAUGUCCAUGGUCAGGAAACCAUAACCAUCUAUUGAUCAACGAGCUAGUCAACUAGAGGCUUACUAGGGACAUGUUGUGGUCUAUGUAUUCACACAUGUAUUACGAUUUCUAGUUAAUACAAUUAUAGAAUGAACAAUAGACAAUUAUCAUGAACAAGGAAAUACAAUAAUAACCAUUUUAUUAUUACCUCUAGGGCAUAUUUUCAACAAGGACACUCAAGUUUAUGUUUAUGGACACAUCAACUCUUGAUGCCAAGGCAAAGGCAUAUGUUGAACUUUGUCGCGAUGAAAUGUGAAGAAGCAAAUGCUCAUGAGGCAAAUGAUGAUGGGAGGAGGCAUGGGAGGUGCCAUGGGAGGAGGCAUAGGAGGUGCCAUGGGUGGUUACAUGAACAUGAUUGGGGGUUCCAUGAAUGGUGCAUUUGGCGGAAAUAUGGGAGGUGGCUUCGGUGGCAACAUGGAAGGUGGCUUUGGCGGCAUGGGAGGUGGCUUUGGCGACAACAUGAUGGGUGGCUUGGGACGUGGCUAUGGCGGCAACAUGAGUGGCGUUGGAGUUGGCUUCGUCGGCAACAUGACCGGUAUGGGACGCAAUGAAGAUGCUUCCGGUGGUGCUCACGGCAACGAGAGUUCACCGCUUGUUGAGAACGUCGACAAAGACGGUGGUGAAGAUGAUGAUCAUACCACGGUUCACAACGCCGGUGGUGUUGAUGACCCGCAUGAGUAAUAUUUAUGUGCAUUUCAAUUUCUAGGGCGAAAAACUUUGAUUGAGACGACGGUCUUUUGGUAGAGGGAUUUGAUACUAUGAUGGUGAUGCACUUUUGAUUGAAACUAUGAUGAUGAUGCACUUUAUUUUCAAAAAAAAUUAUGCUAUUUCAAUGCAAAACCGCGGCUGAACAGUGGCUGGCAGCAGCCGCACGGCCGUUUUCAGAUUUUUACAUCUUUGGUUUGGACCAUCUAUUGGAGUUGCUCUUUUGGACCAUCAAUUUGGACCAUUUGUUGGAGUUGAGCGUUUCUCGGAGCUCCAAAAUGCACCUUUUGACGGUCCAAAUUUUAUAUCUUCGGUUUUGGACCGCCAAAAUUUGAACCAUCUAUUGGAGAUGCUCUUAUGUUUGUGCAUAUGAAAUUCUGAAGUUGUGCUUAUAAAUUUUUUGUGGUGUAUGGUUGCAGGAUAUCCAUGCCGAGGCUGCAAAGAAGAGGCGGCUCACAACCAAAAGGCCGUAUUCCAGGUCCUUUGUCGGUGCUUCCCUUGAUGUUAUCUAGAAGAAGAGAGCCGAGAAGCCUGAGGUUCGUGAUGCAGCCAGGAAAGCAGCUCUCCGGUAGCACUUCCUUCUCCCUGGCUUCCGACUCCUGCUUCUAGAUAUUGUGAUGUGCUAUACCAUGAAAACUAGCAUGAACCAACAUGUUCUUCUUAUGUUGCAUGUCAAACUAGGAUUGUUAUACCUGUCAACUGAGCAUCAUCCGUGUAAUAUCCACUAUGUGUUUUUGUUCCUGUUUAAUCAAUGCACAAACAUGAGCGCAGUCUUGGCACCUUGAUUUUCUAUAUGAUGUGUAUCUGUGAGUUAUUUAUAGUGGUAACUGUUGUACAAGAGUGAGAUCAAAGAGCGCAUCAAGAAGACCAAGGACGAGAAGAGAGCUAAGAAGGUGGAGGUGACGAAGUCCUAGAGAAGACCGUUGGAAGAGGCAACGCCCCCAAACCCGGGAAGGCCUCCAAGCUUUGCGGCGGCGGGGGGAAGCGCUAGGCAGCAACACCCAGUUAUGUGAUCAACGUCAAAUUCUGAACCUAGUAGUUAUGUGAUGGCUUACCCAGUAUCUUCAGGAAUGUUUUGCGGGGAUCAAAGUUCAUGCUUGUCAGAGGUGUUAUUCUGUACUUGCUGUUUGCUACUUCUUCUACCUAUCAAUGCAAUGAUGCGGUGCGUAUCCGUGAAAAAAAGUAGAGGUUGUUUCUUCUGUUUAUUAUACAGUAUAUCUGAUCAAUGUGAAGAUUGUGAGUGUGUGUUUAUCCAAUUGGUGUUUCUUUCGCACCACGCUGUUGAUUAUUUGUCCGAAACCUAUCGAAGCCGGUCUUCGUAGUUCGUAGACCCUUUCUCAUGACACGCCUGUCAUUAUCCACGAAGUUUCCACUUAAUAACUCGAUGUUAAUCGAUGCGGCGCACGGCCGAAAUAUCGUCGGAGCGCGACCUUGUGAGGUGAUGCUGCUUUUGGCUGGGUCAGGCCGCCACGGAAGCAGUUGAUUCAACGGCCGUGGUCGCCAAGCACUUACUCCGUUACUCGUACAGUAGGAGUAGUAGAUUAGUCCUGGUAGGUGUUGAGAUUAAUUCAGCGGGCUGGUCGGUGCCUGGUUCAGCGCACCUUGAUCCCGGAGAAAACUAAGGUUCAGUGAACCUCGUACCAACACCAACCCCAGGGAGCACGUGCUUUGCCUUUCACAAUUUGUUUAGCGUGAUUGUCUUGAUAAGACCGAAGGGGUGGCUUAAAGAAAGGAUCGUUGUCUCAGACGGACAGGAUCAUAUCCGAUCGUACGGCUAGUCGGCGCCGACAUGUCACUUAAGCGACAGAAAAGCACGUGGUAGGUGAAGCUCGCCGCAUGCUUUCUUCGGAGAUUGUUUGCGCAAAUCACGUGUGAUAUUCUGUUCAUCUGACUAAAGAUUGUUGUCUAGUUUGCAUCUACUAACUCAGGAUCUACAACCGGACCUCUCAAAUCCGAUCCGCCUCAUACGUCCGGAUGGACCGUCCGUUUACUGCCUGAUCAUUAUUUUUUGACCCAGACAUGUCCCUUAAACGCUCAGGCUGACUGGCACCCAUAUGUCCAGCCCAAAUAUGGGGUGGAUAAGGGGUGCCUGGGCGCAUCCGGACACGCCUGCCGCGUCAGACCCGACAGCCUGACCCCAUUCCAAAUUGCAUCAAAUCCACCAAACUCUUCCUCCUCCUCCAGCCGCCAGCCAACCAUUCCCGUGUUCGGACCCUCCCCGUCCUUCACCCUUGCUCCCAAUCCUCACCUCAGGUCCCGAUACAUCGCCGAAGAUGUCCUCCAGCCCGACCCACACCGCUGCGACAGAGACGCAGUCCGCCUCGUCCGUCGGCGGCAUGAUUUCGUCGGCGAAGAACGUCACCCACAAGUUGCGGUGAUGCCGACAGCGAAAGAGGGAGGCGGCGGCGUCGCAGCGGGGUUCGGACAUGGUGGAGCAGUUGUCUCCUCCGCCUCGCCCGGAUGCAAGCAGAGCAGGACGAGCAUGACGCAUUCCGCUCGGAGCAGGCGCCCAGCCAGCGAUCCGAGGCCAUCUGUCACGCUCGGACAUUGAUUUCAUUUUGCCAUGUCCGGUUUGGUGAACUAUGAUUUGUUUUUGCUUUGUUUCAAACUUUGGCAUUCAGAUAGUUUGUACCGUAUGAUCGACAUGCAUUGAUUGGAUGAAUUUGAGGAUCGAAAUUUACGGUAUGUGGAUGUAUGUGGAUGUGCGGCGCAACAUUUGAGGGGUGUCCAGUCAUUGCCCGCGGAUGCAUCCGGGCGUGUCCGUGGGCGUUUAAGGGCCUGAUGUGCCAAGUCCGUUGUAGAUGCUCUAAACGUUCUUAUAUUUCUUUGCAAAGAGAGUAAUAAUCAAAUUUAAAAAAAAGGAGUUUUGUUCUGUUCAUCUAACUAAAGAUUUCUGUCUAGUUUGCAUCUAACAAUCCAAUUAAAAGGGAGUUUUGUUCAGAUUUUGGGAUGAAAAUCUGCAUUGCCGUAGCUUUGAGAUGGCUCCCCGCUGUAUGUGUAAGGGCGGUUUGAGCAGGCUAGAAAUCUUGAGCUCGGUCAGCAACUUGCAAAAGCUAUCCGUUGGACUUGAGAUCGAGGUUGAUCCUCCUCCAAUGAAUCGAAGUCACUCCUGUGUCAGCUUCGUUUGUGUCCCUCAGCGCCUGGCGUGGCAUGCCAAUGAGUGUUGAUGGGCACACGACCUCGCUUCACUCCCCUCUACCAGGCAGGGAUGGGAUCGACCUCCAGCCUCGUGUAUGCAGUAGGUCGCAGACAAAGUUCCAGCGGAAAGGCGUUCACACCAUCUCGGGCGUCCGUGCAGGUGCAGGUGCAGUGCACCCCGGCCCAUGCGAGCAAGUGGAUCAUUGCGCUCUACUAGAAGAAAAAAAAAAUGCAUGGUACAUCUGUUAGCUCAGCAUCGGGCCGUGCCUGCCGCAGCCACGUACGCCGAGGCCGUCGACCCGAUCGACCACCCACGCCUUUCCGAUAUGUCCCCGACGUGUCUCCGUGCGUGUCGCUCGCGGUCGACACCCACCGAGAGCGACGGCACGUCGCACGUCCGACCCACCCACUUGACCCCGGCUUCCCUCCCCAGAAAUGUGGACCACGUCGCGGCCCGGACGCCGAUGCACCUGGACACCCCACGCCGAGCAGCACGCACAGGACUGGAGAUCGACCGAUCGUGUCGACGCGCGCCCAGCGCCACGCGACGGCCCGCGACUCGGUGGUCACCGUCGCACGCUGCGCGACAAGGAAGGCCGGGCGGGGGAAAGCGCGCUGCGCUUUUCGGCGUGGCAUGUGUCCGGCCAGGGCCAGCCGCCUGGUGCGGGUGUGGGCCGACUCGGCCGCGAACGAUCCGGUGGACCGGUUGGUCGCCGCGUGUGCGGCUGCGUGACCGCAACAAUACGGGGGAAAAGCGCAGGACUGUGUCGCGACUUGCGAGGGGAUAAUCUAGCGCUGCUGCGGUGUGGUGUGGUGCACCCGCGGGCGAAUCUUGCCGACGAGUGCCGAGCCUGCAUCGCGGUGGCAGCGACCCGCGAUGAUUCGAUCAGCCGUUUCCGGCGCUCCUACUAUCUCCGUCCUGGUUUAUUAUCUCCCUUUAUAAUUUGUGCUAAGUUUUAAUCAAAGAUUUAACUGAUAAAAUGUUAGUGCAUGUCAAUAAAAUUAUAUGUUGGAUUCGUAUUUUUAACAUAGUUUUAAUGAUAUACUUUUUAGUGACAUGCAUGAACAUUUUGUAAGUUAAAUUUACUAUCAAAAUUUGGCACAGAUUACAAUGGAGGCCAAUAAAACAGGACGGAGGUAGUACUCCCUCCGUCCGGAAAUACUUGUCGAAGAAAUGCAUAAAAAUGGAUGUAUCUAGAACUAAAAUACGUCUAGAUACAUUCAUUCCUCCGACGAGUAUUUCCGGACGGAGGGAGUAUGUGCUAUUGUUGCGAGGUCGCGUCCGGAAGUGACGGGAGAGAAAGGGCUCUCGGUUGACGGGUAGAUCUUAUGGCAAUUCCAAAGCGCCGACACAUUUCGCGUGGACAUGUAGCGCUGCGUCCUUCCUUGGUGUGAUGUAGCGAACGCCCGCGGCGUCCUUCCUUGGUGUGAUCGUCUGUGGCACAUCAUCUCCAUUCCCAUCAUUUCUCUCCCGCCCUCCCGCCAUGGCCGUCCACCUCGUGGGCCCGAAGAAGCUGAUGAAGGAGAUCACCCAGGAGGAGAGUGCGGCCGGGACGACGAAGCAAGCCAACCGAAGGAAGAGGGGCAAGGAAAAAAGGAGACACCACAUACACUCACGCCAUCACCGUCAAGGCCGCGCAAACUGCCCUCCUCCUACUAGAGUUUCGUGAUCCGACCUGCUCGCCGCCGCCACGUCGGCACGCCGGCCCAAGCUACCGGAGUCGUCGCGCAUGUCAACAACGUUGCCGAUGUACGGGUAAUUUCCCGGACACGACCCGACAACGUCCCACUAUUCCAUGUAACCUCGGGAAGGAUCACCGGAAAUGGGUGACUCCAUGUCGAUCAUCUUGUGGUGCCUUCCAUUGAUCUCAAUGCCACACCUAUGGCUGGCUAGUCCACCGGGACGCAAAGUAAGUGCCUGCCGGCGGUCUACCCGACAACUUUCUCGAUGCCCGCAACCUAUUUGAUGUAAGCCGCGUAUUGAGGACUGUGAGCUUAACAAUGAGAGGCCAUGUUCAAUUGUUGUUGAAGCAGACGAUGUUAGGGCAUCUCCAACGGCAACCCGCAAAAAACCUCCCACAUUCGUCCACAUACAGGGGGGCCAGUCCGCGGACACGGAUACGGGAGGCAGCCAUCCGACGCUAGCCGCAUACAUUUUCACAACAACUCAAACCAACCGGACAAAAUUCAUGCAAACACGUGCGGAUUUCAUGUGAACUCGACCGGAUUUCAUACAAACAUGACAGAUUUCAUAUAAACAUGACGAGUUUCAGUACAUUUACAUCAACGGUGCUACUCCGGCUCUGAAGGUAUAGUUAAUACCUAAUCUAAAUUGCCGCCCGCGGACUCCUUUGUCUUCCUCAUGUCCAGCAGCCCAAUCACUGGAUUGUCGGGACCCACGAAGCCGAAGGUAUAAGCUUCAGCGCAAAGGACAGCUCGCUUCCCCGCCACUCAUCGAAGUGUAACCCCGGUUGAUGCUUCAGCGGGAGGGGCAGGCGGUGCCUCCGCUUCUGUGAAGCCCAUGUGGGAUCGACAAAGGUCCUCGAAAGAGAAGAACCGGGCAAGACACCGACUGUGUACGCCGGUGUCGCCUAGGCGGUGGCCUUCGUGGGACCCAAGUGGCGGCUGACUCCAUUGUUCUACUUCUCCUCGAUGAUGGCGGCGGACGCGGAUGCACCGGCCACUGAGUCGUCGCUCUCCGCGCACUCGGCUUCUGCCUCUACCUGCAUGGUGUGGUCGUAGGCCCGAGAGGCGCGGUUGCAGGCACAAAAGGCGCGGUCACAGAAGCGGGAGGCGCGGUGGUCGACGGCAGCGAUGACGCCCGUGCCGUUGUGCUCCCCGUCGUGUCGAUGUCGAGCAACUGACCACUCCUCAUCGGGUGGUCCUGGAGUGGGGAGUUGCUGAACCACGCGACGGCUUGGGGCGGCAACUUGCUCCGUCGGGUGAAGCUCGGGAGGUGGAGCAGCGAGCUGCCUCGCUCGUAUCCGGCCGACUCGGCGGGCUACCUAGCAGGCUUGUAUGCUAGAGAACUGCUCUUCGUAAGCCAUCAGAAGAGUGGGGGAGGAGGACAUUGGGGGAGCGGCGGAGGGGUGUGGUUCUUUCCCGGUGUCUGCCGUCGUUUAAAUAUGGAACUUGCCAUUGUGUUACUUUUUAUGCCACUAUUUAAUCAUACACCAACUGUCUUUGUCCUUGGUUGAAAACGUACCACCACCCCCUCUCCCUCCACCCUAGUGUCAUCGUUGAAUGAUGCCACCGACCUAAGCUUGUACACUAAACUAGCGGCAAAGGGGUUCCUUGCAACAAUUUCCUCGAAGGUUCGGGGUAUGGUCUCCCUCAUUGAACAGCACCUUCGGUGGCCGAGAGCAGGCAUUGCCCUCGGGCACCGGUGAGGACGCAUUUGCACACGACAUGGCUCUCGUGCGGCCUUUUGUUACAAUUACAACUAUGUGGAUAUUGCAACAGACCUGGCCAGACUCCAGUGAGGUGGAAUAUGGGCAUGCAGGGAUAGACAGACCAACUAGCCAUGUGAUUGGGAAAUGUGAGGUUGGCGAUGAAAGCCAUGGUAAACUUUGAUUGGAGCAGAUGAUGCCGUAUCUAGGUGGCAUUACUUUGUUGUAGGCGUCAAAGGGUAUAGUUCUUGUCUUCCGGGAUGCUCGGGAGAAACCAUAGAUUUUGGUCUUCCGAGGUCAAUCGAUUAAUUGGGCAUUCUUGUGUCUCUGAUUAUCCCACGAUUCUCCGGUUUUAUUAUGCGGAUCAGAGGCAAUUAUAAUCAUUCCGUUGAUCAAUGUUUAAUCUUUUCAGAAUAACAAUUCUAAAGAAAAUAACCACUAGAGUUUCAUCUUCAUACUUAUUCUGUCUCAAAAUGUAGACGUUCUUUGAUACUAUCAUAACGUUAAAAAAUGUCUUAUACAUUUUAAAUGCAUAUUUGACAAAAAAACUACCACAUUUCACGUCAUCGUCCCACAGUACUAUCGCAUUUUGAAAAGUGACCGAAAACUCCAGAUUAGUACUAAUUUUGUGACAAAAAAACUACCAACUUGAGUUGAUGACCGUUUUUAUGAUUUUAAACCUGUUUAUGACAUGCGGGACCCGCGUGUCAAAGCUGACAUGGCGAGAAAGUCAACUCCUUUAUUUUUUACCAUCAAGUUGACUGAUGGGGCCCACACAUCAACAUCAACUUCUUCCUCCUCCUCCUCCUCUCUCUCUAUGUGGCAUUUUAACAAACACUUCAUGUGCACACAUGGGGAUGAGCAGCAGUGCAUGGCCACCGGCCGCAGCCGCGGCCACAGGCGACGAGCAGCAUUAGAGGCCAGUACGACCAUGCGCAGCAGCUCGCCCUGCCGCCCCCACACCUGCUGCUCGCCGGCGGCCCUUGCUGCCACGAGAAGCCGAGAAUGGUGUCGUGCCCGCCUCCUGGUCAACAACGGUGGUUCACGACCUCGCGCUCGCCAUCGGAGGACGAGGCGUUCGUGCGGGUCGUCGCGCUCUACGUCGACGACGGCGACGCCAUGCACCCUGGCUUCCUCGAGUCGGUAGACCCAGGAGGCGGCCUCGAGCGUGCAGGCGGCCGAGUUCCACCAGGGCUACCGGAAGGGCGCGGAGGCCCUGUACCAGUAGGCCUUGUAGGCGGCGUCGGCUAGGGAGCAGGGCAGGAGGAAGCAGGCGAGGACGCGGAAGGAGUGGUUGAGCUGCGCGGUGUAGCCGGCGCGCACCUCAUCCGAGUCGUGUCGGAGACGGUCGAUGCAGAGCACGGGGCGGAGGCCGACCAGGAGCAGUGAGCAGAGGGAGAGGAAGGCGAGCGUGGCGGUUGUUGGGAAUCGUUGCAUGGAAAAUAAAAAAAUUCAACGCACACGCAAUGAUCUAUCCAUGGAGAUGCAUAGCAACGAAGGGAAAAGUAUGUCUACGUACACUCGUAGACCGUAAGCGGAAGCGUUUAAUAACGCGGUUGAUGUAGUCAAACUUUCUUCGUGCUCCAACCGAUCUAGUAUCAAACGCACGCCACCUCCGCGUUCUGCACACGUUCGACUCGGGGAUGUCCUACGCCUUCUUGAUCCAGCAAGACGGCGAGGUAGUAGCUGAGUUCCGACAGCACGAAGGCGUGGUGACGGUGAUGGUGAUGUGAUCUCUGCAGGGAUUCACCUAAGCACUACGAAAAUAUGAUCGAGGGAGUAAACGGUGGACGGGGGCGCCGCACAUGGCUAAGACAAUCUUGUGUCCUUGUGUGGCGCCCCCACCCCACAUAUAUAUAUAGGUGGAAGGGGGGAGGAGGCAGCCUAGGGCUGGCUGCCGGCCCAAGGGCUCCUGCGCCCCCUUUCCUUGUAUGAAUAAGGGGGAAGGAAAGAGGGGGGGGAGGAAGCGGGAGUCCUACUCCACACUUUCCUUUCCCACCCCUCUUUCCUUCUCCUCCUCAUAGGGCCGACCUCUAUAGGGGUGCACCAGCCCCUUGUGGGCUGGUGUGUUUCCUCUGUUGGCCCAUAAGGCCCAGAUCUUUGCCGGGGGUGUCCGAAACUCCUUUCCGGUGACCCGAUAAGUACUCGGUACCCUCCGAAACACUAUCGGUGUACGAAUACCAUCAUCCUAUAUAUCAAUAUUUACCUCUCGACCAUUUCGAGACUCCUCGUCAUGUCCGUGAUCUCAUCCAGGACUCCGAACAAAUUUCGGUCACCAAAUCACAUAACUCAUAUAAUAUUAUAUCGUCAACAAACGUUAAGCGUAGGGACCCUACGGGUUCGAGAACUAUGUAGACAUGACCGAAACACCUCUCCGGUAAAUAACCAAUAGCGGAACCUGGAUGCCCAUAUUGGCUCCUACAUAUUCUACGAAGAUCUUUAUCGGUCGAACCGUUACGACAACAUAUGGAAUUCCCUUUGUCCAUCGGUAUGUUACUUGCCCGAGAUUCAAACAUCGGUAUCUCUAUACCUAGUUCAAUCUCGUUACCGGCAAGUCUCUUUACUCGUUCCGUAAUACAUCACCUCGUGACCAACUCCUUAGUCAUUUGCUUGCAAGCUUAUGAUGUGUAUUAACGAGAGGGCCCAGAGAUACCUCUCUGAUAUUCGGAGUGACAAAUCCUAAUCUCGAUCUAUGCCAACUCAAUAAACACCUUUGGAGAUACCUGCAGAGCAUCUUUAUGAUCACACAGUUAUGUUGUGACAUUUGAUAGCACACAAGGUAUUCCUCCGGUAUCCGGGAGUUGCAUAAUCUCAUAGUCGAAGGAAUAUGUAUUUGACAUGAAGAAAGCAAUAGCAAUAAAACUGAACCAUCAUUAUGCUAAGCUAACGGAUGGGUCUUGUCCAUCACAUCAUUCUCCUAAUGAUGUGAUCCCGUUAUCAAAUGACAACUCAUGUCCAUGGUCAGGAAACCUUAACCAUAUUUGAUCAAUGAGCUAGUCUAGUAGAGGCUUACAAGGGACACAGUGUUUGUUUAUGUAUUCACACAUGUAUUUAAGUUUUCGAUCAAUACAAUUAUAGCAUGAAUAAUAAACCUUAUCAUGAAUAAGGAAAUAUAAAAUAACAACUUUAUCAUUUCCUCUACGGCAUAUUUCCUUCAGCGGCCAGGGUGAGGGACACCUACACCUGCCCGUCCAGGGGCCGCGGUGGCGCGGAGGCCGGGAGGGUGAGGGUGAUAUGAGGUGGCGACGACGAGCUCCUCUCAUCGGAUGAUGCACAUGAGGUAUUUGUUAAAAUGCCAAAGAGGGAGGGAGAGAGGAGGAAGAAGAAUGAUGUGUGGGCCCCACCUGUACUAAUGGUCAACGUAGCUGUCAAAAUAAACGGAAUUGACUUUCCCGCCACGUCAGCUCUGACACGCGGGUCCCGCAUGUCAUAAAAGGUUUAAAAUCAUAAAAUGGUCAUGAACUCAACUUGGUAGUUUUUUGUCACAAAAUUAAUACUAAUCUGGAGUUUACGGUCAUUUUUCAAAAUGUAGUAGUUAUGUGGGACGAUGACGUGAAAUGUGGUAGUUUUUUUGUCAAAUACUAGAGGGAGCACACUUGAAUGGCGGAUAAGAGGGACAUGAACAUGAUAGAUGCUCCAUUUCACUGACAACGCAUAAAGUCUAUCACUUCAGUUCAAGCUUAUCUGGACAAUCGAUCAAUAGUGCUUUCUUUUGUUGACUGUGGUUGUGAUGAGCGCACCGCGCACGCACGCUAUGUCGUGGAGGGCAGAUCAGGUGAUCACACUCCAGAUUCCGCGUAUAGCACCAAACACGCUUAGCCACGCCUAGGGCAUCAUUUGGUCAGGGCUGAACACAGGAGCAAUCCUCCUGCUCAUAUACCGGAGGCUGGAGACUUCUUUCGCCUCUCUAAAAAACUAUUUUAGUCAAAUAACUUGGUUCCCACGUAACUGGAUGUUAAUCCCGCUGCGGCGCUCGGAGGCCGCCAUGCCGUCGUAAGAACGCGACCUGCCGAUCUGACAUUUCUCUGAGAAAUGCGUCGUCUGAACCGGUCGUGGCCGUCGAUCGGGUCCUCUUUGUGCCGGUAGGUAUGUAGAAUUGCUGCGGCUGCAGCUUUUGACGGCGGCUCUCGGUGGUUGCUUUGCUAGGUUCAGUGUACCUUUGCCUUUCUUUGCUCCGGUCCAUUGCAAGAAAAUGUUCGGUGUACCGCUCCGCUCAUACGACCGAUCUGAGGAGCACGUGCGAUGUUUGUUUAGCAUGCAUGGUUGUAUUACGGAUAAAACUGGAGGCGAUCGUUGUCGCGGACAACAUUACGGCUCGGCGGCGCCGACGUAUCACUUCCCAAUGAAAAAAGCAAGUGGCAGACAGAGUGUACGCACGGGCUUUCUUAGAGCAUGGCGGCCUCCGAAUGUCGCGGACGAUAUUAUGGCUCGGCAGGCGCCCCAAACCGGCCUCGAACGCCCGGUCGGCCCUUCCGAUCAUUGAUCGAUCACGAUUUUCCGAUCUAAGCGGGUCCUUCAAAUGGGACUCAAACGUCCGGGCUGUCCGACAUCCUUUAUAUCCAGCCUAAAUAAAUGGUGAAUAUAGGGCGUCCGGGCACGUCCGCCACGUCGAUCUGACGACGAAGUCCCACGCGUAAACGUCCGGAAACCCGGCAGUCCGACGGAGGUUGCGUCCGUCGCUGUGGUGUGAACACCGCGUGGCGCCGCUCCGGCUCACCGUCCAAGACCAAAUCCGGCUAUUUAAGCCGGCCGGCGUCCCGCAACCCUAACUCAUCCGCCUCUCCCUUCUCCGCGCCGCCAGUCCGAGCCCAUCCACCUCCUCCCUCUCCCGCUCAGGCGCUUCGCCACGGUUCGGAGGAAGAUCACCUACUACGCAAUGCUCACACCGGAGCGCCACUACGAGAUCCGGGCGAGACAAGCCGCGCGUUCUGCCCACAUCGUUGUCGGGUUGCCUUCGGACUCGCCGGAGCCGGAGGAGGAGGAGGAGCAGCCAGCAGAAGAGGGGGAGGAGGAGGCUUCGAUGAAGGUGGAGGAGACGGAGGAGGCGGAGCAGCAGGAGCAGGAGUUGCCGGGCUUCAACGGGAGCAGGCGGAGGCGGAGUUCGCCAUCGCCUAGUCGGAGAGAUGGCGCAGCAGCAGGCCAUCCUCGAGUCCGUCCAGGAUGAGACUAUGUGGAGGCCAACCGGGCGUUCCUCCGACACGAGUAGGCGGCGUCCCGACGCGCUCUUCGCCGAACUCGACGCGGAGACAGAGGUGUCGGAGGCCGGAGCGUAGCAACCGGAGGUGUCGGAGGAGCCAGAGCUGCAGCUGCUGAAGGAAAUAUGCCCUAGAGGCAAUAAUAAAGUUAUUAUUUAUUUCCUUAUAUCAUGAUAAAUGUUUAUUAUUCAUGCUAGAAUUGUAUUAACCGGAAACCUGAUACAUGUGUGAAUACAUAGACAAACAGAGUGUCACUAGUAUGCCUCUACUUGACUAGCUCGUUGAUCAAAGAUGGUUAUGUUUCCUAGCCAUAGACAUGAGUUGUCAUUUGAUUAACGGGAUCACAUCAUUAGGAGGAUGAUGUGAUUGACUUGACCCAUUCCGUUAGCUUAGCACUCGAUCGUUUAGUAUGUUGCUACUGCUUUCUUCAUGACUUAUACAUGUUCCUAUGAUUAUGAGAUUAUGCAACUCCCGUUUACCGGAGGAACACUUUGUGUGCUACCAAACGUCACAACGUAACUGGGUGAUUAUAAAGGUGCUCUACAGGUGUCUCCGAAGGUACUUGUUGGGUUGGCGUAUUUCGAGAUUAGGAUUUGUCACUCCGAUUGUCGGAGAGGUAUCUCUGGGCCCUCUCGGUAAUGCACAUCACUAUAAGCCUUGCAAGCAUUGUAACUAAUGAGUUAGUUGCGGGAUGAUGUAUUACGGAACGAGUAAAGAGACUUGCCGGUAACGAGAUUGAACUAGGUAUUGAGAUACCGACGAUCCAAUCUCGGGCAAGUAACAUACCGAUGACAAAGGGAACAACGUAUGUUGUUAUGCGGUCUGACCGAUAAAGAUCUUCAUAGAAUAUGUGGGAGCCAAUAUGAGCAUCCAGGUUCCGCUAUUGGUUAUUGACCGGAGACGUGUCUCGGUCAUGUCUACAUAGUUCUCGAACCCGUAGGGUCCGCACGCUUAAAGUUCGAUGACGGUGAUAUUAUGAGUUUAUGUGUUUUGAUGUACCGAAGGUAGUUCGGAGUCCCGGAUGAGAUCGGGGACAUGACAAGGAGUCUCAAAAUGGCCGAGAAGUAAAGAUCGAUAUAUUGGACGACUAUACUUGGACUUCGGAUAGGUUCCGAGUGAUUCGGGUAUUUAUCGGAGUACCGGAGAGUUACGAGAAUUCGCCGGGGAGAAGUAUUGGGCCUUAUUGGGCCAUACGGGAAUAGAGGAGAGAGGCCAAAAGGAAGGAGGCGCGCACCCCCCCUCUGGUCCGAAUUGGACAAGGGGUGCAGCCCCCUUUUCCUUCUCCCUCUCCCCCUCUUUCCUUCUCUCCUACUCCAACAAGGAAAGGAGGAGUCCUACUCCCGGUGGGAGGAGGACUCCCCCCUUGGCGCACCCUCCUCCUUGGCCGGCCGCCUCCCCCUUGCUCCUUUAUAUACGGGGGCAGGGGGGCACCCCAUAGACACAACAAUUGAUCGUUUGAUCUUUUAGCCGUGUGCGGUGCCCCCCUCCACCAUAGUCUACCUCGAUAAUACUGUAGCGGUGCUUAGGCGAAGCCCUGCGUCGGUAGAACAUCAUCCUCAUCACCACGCCGUCGUGCUGACGAAACUCUCCCUCAACACUCGGCUGGAUCGGAGUUCGAGGGACGUCAUCGGGCUGAACGUGUGCUGAACUCGGAGGUGCCGUGCGUUCGGUACUUGAUCGGUCGGAUCGUGAAGACGUACGACUACAUAAUUGUUGUUCCGUUUACAUGAAUAAAACCUUCUAUGGUCAUACACCCAAUGAAAAUGGUUUGUUGAUUCUCGAUCGUAGUGAUACACAUAUUCAUAAUAUUGAAGCCAAAAGAUGCAAAGUUAAUAAUGAUAGUGCAACUUAUUUGUGGCACUGCCGUUUAGGUCAUAUUGGUGUAAAACGCAUGAAGAAACUCCAUGCUGAUGGGAUUUUGGAAUCACUUGAUUAUGAAUCACUUGAUGCUUGCGAACCAUGCCUAUUGGGCAAGAUGACUAAAACGCCGUUCUCCGGAACAAUGGAGCAAGCAACAGAUUUGUUGGAAAUCAUACAUACUGAUGUAUGUGGUCCGAUGAAUAUUGAGGCUCGUAGCGGGUAUCAUUAUUUUCUGACCUUCACAGAUGAUUUGAGCAGAUAUGGGUAUAUCUACUUAACGAAACAGAAGUCUGAAACAUUUGAAAAGUUCAUAUAAUUUCAGAGUGAAGUGAAAAAUCAUCGUAACAAGAAAAUAAAGUUUCUACGAUCUGAUCGUGGAGAAGAGUAUUUGAGUUACGAGUUUGGUCUUCAGUUAAAACAAUGUGAAAUAGUUUCACUGCUCACGCCACCUGGAACACCACAGUGUAAUGGUGUGUCCGAACAUCGUAACCGUACUUUAUUAGAUAUGGUGCAAUCUAUGAUGUCUCUUACCGAUUUACCACUAUCGUUUUGGGGUUAUGCAUUAAAGACAGUUGCAUCCACGUUAAAAAGGGCACCGUCUAAGUCCGUUGAGACGACACAAUAUGAACUGUGGUUUGGCAAGAAACCAAAGUUGUCGUUACUUAAAGUUUGGGGUUGUGAUGCUUAUAUGAAAAAGUUUCAUCCUGAUAAGCUCAAACCCAAAUCGGAGAAGUAUGUCUUCAUAGGAUACCCAAAGGAGACUGUUGGGUACACCUUCUAUCACAGAUCCAAAGGCAAGACAUUCGUUGCUAAGAAUAGAUCCUUUCUGGAGAAGGAGUUUCUCUCGAAAGAAGUGAGUGGGAGGAAAGUAAAACUUGAUGAGGUAAUUGUACCUUCUCCCGAAUUGGAGAAUAGUUCAUCACAGAAAUCAGUUCCAGUGAUGCGUACACCAAUUAGUGAGGAAGUUAAUGAUGAUGAUCAUAAAACUUCGGAUCAAGUUACUACAGAACUUCGUAGAUCAACCAGAGCACGAUCUGCCCCAGACUGGUACGGUAAUCAUGUACUGGAAGUCAUGUUACUAGACCAUGAUAAACCUACGAACUAUGAGGAAGCGAUGAUGAGCCCAGAUUCCGCAAAAUGGCUUGAGGCCACGAAAUCGGAGAUGGGAUCCAUGUAUGAGAACAAAGUUUGGACUUUGGUUCACUUGCCCGGUGAUCGGUAAGCCAUAGAAAAUAAAUGGAUCUUCAAGAGAAAGAUGGACGCUGAUAGUAGUGUUACUAUCUACAAAGCUAGAAUUGUCGCAAAAAUGUUUCGACAAGUUCAAGGUGUUGACUACGAUGAGAGUUUCUCACUCGUAUCUAUGCUUAAGUCUGUCCGAAUCAUGUUAGCAAUUGCCGCAUUUUAUGAAAUCUGGCAAAUGGAUAAACAAAACUGCAUUCCUUAAUGGAUUUAUUAAAGAAGAGUUGUAUAUGAUGCAACCAGAAGGUUUUUUUCAAUCCUAAAGGUGCUAAAAAAAUAUGCAAGCUCCAGCGAUCCAUCUAUGGACUGGUGCAAGCAUCUCGGAGUUGGAAUAUACGCUUUGAUAAGUUGAUCAAAGGAUAUAGUUUUAUACAGACUUGCGGUGAAGCCUGUAUUUACAAGAAAGUGAGUGGGAGCACUACAGCAUUUCUGAUAAGUAUAUGUGAAUGACAUAUUGUUGAUCGGAAAUAAUGUAGAAUUAUUCUGCAAAGCAUAAAGGAGUGUUUGAAAGGAGUUUUUCAAAGAAAGACCUCGGUGAAGCUGCUUACAUAUUGAGCAUCAAGAUCUAUAGAGAUAGAUCAAGACGCUUGAUAAAUUUUUUCAAUGAGUACAUACCUUAACAAGAUUUUGAAGUAGUUCAAAAUGGAACAGUCAAAGAAAGAGUUCUUGCCUGUGUUACAAGGUGUGAAAUUGAGUAAGACUCAAAGCCCGACCACGGCAGAAGAUAGAAAGAGAAUGAAAGUCAUUCCCUAUGCCUCGGCCAUAGGUUCUAUAAAGUAUGCCAUGAUGUGUACCAGAUCUAUUGUAUACCCUAACUGAUUUUGGCAAGGCAGUACAAUAGUGAUCUAGGAGUAGAUCACUGGACAGCGGUCAAAAUUAUCCUUAGUGGAAUAAGGAUAUGUUUCUCGAUCAUGGAGGUGACAAAAAGGGUUCGUCGUAAAGGGUUACGUCGAUGCAAAUUUUGACACUGAUCCAGAUGACUCUAAGUCUCAAUCUGGAUACAUAUUGAAAGUGGGAGCAAUUAGCUAGAGUAGCUCCAUCCAGAGCAUUGUAGACAUAGAAAUUUGCAAAAUAUUUACGGAUCUGAAUAUGACAGACCCGUUGACUAAAAUUAUCUCACAAACAAAACAUGAUCACACCUUAGUACUCUUUGGGUGUUAAUCACAUAGCGGUGUGAACUAGAUUAUUGACUCUAGUAAACCCUUUGGGUGUUGGUCACAUGACGAUGUGAACUAUGGGUGUUAAUCACAUGGUGAUGUGAACUAUUGAUGUUAAAUCACAUGGCGAUGUGAUCUAGAUUAUUGACUCUAGUGCAAGUGGGAGACUGAAGGAAAUAUGCCCUAAAGGCAAUAAUAAAGUUAUUAUUUAUUUCCUUAUAUCAUGAUAAAUGUUUAUUAUUCAUGCUAGAAUUGUAUUAACCGGAAACCUGAUACAUGUGUGAAUACAUAGACAAAGAGAGUGUCACUAGUAUGCCUCUACUUGACUAGCUCGUUGAUCAAAGAUGGUUAUGUUUCCUAGCCAUAGACAUGAGUUAUCAUUUGAUUAACGGGAUCACAUCAUUAGGAGAAUGAUGUGAUUGACUUGACCCAUUCCGUUAGCUUAGCACUCGAUCAUUUAGUAUGUUGCUACUGCUUUCUUCAUGACUUAUACAUGUUCCUAUGGCUAUGAGAUUAUGCAACUCCCGUUUACCGGAGGAACACUUUGUGUGCUACCAAACGUCACAACCUAACUGGGUGAUUAUAAAGGUGCUAUACAGGUGUCUCCGAAGGUACUUGUUUGGUUGGCGUAUUUCGAGAUUAGGAUUUGUCACUCCGAUUGUCGGAGAGGUAUCUCUGGGCCCUCUCGGUAAUGCACAUCACUAUAAGCCUUGCAAGCAUUGUAACUAAUGAGUUAGUUGCGGGAUGAUGUAUUACGGAACGAGUAAAGAGACUUGCCGGUAACAAUAUUGAACUAGGUAUUGAGAUACCGACGAUUGAAUCUCGGGCAAGUAACAUACCGAUGACAAAGGGAACAACGUAUGUUGUUAUGCGGUCUGACCGAUAAAGAUCUUCGUAGAAUAUGUGGGAGCCAAUAUGAGCAUCCAGGUUCCGCUAUUGGUUAUUGACCGGAGACGUGUCUCGGUCAUGUCUACAUAGUUCUCGAACCCGUAGGGUCCGCACGCUUAAAGUUCGAUAACGAUUAUAUUAUGAGUUUAUGUGUUUUGAUGUACCGAAGGUAGUUCGGAGUCCCGGAUGAGAUCGGGGACAUGACGAGGAGUAUCGAAAUGGCCGAGACGUAAAUAUCGAUAUAUUGGACGACUAUAUUCGGACUUCCGAAAGGUUCCGAGUGAUUCGGGUAUUUAUCGGAGUACCGGAGAGUUACGUGAAUUCGCCGGGGGAGAAGUAUUGGGCCUUAUUGGGCCAUACGGGAAUAAAGGAGAGAGGCCAAAAGGAAGGAGGCGCGCACCCCCCCUCUGGUCCGAAUUGGACAAGGGGUGCAACCCCCUUUUCCUUCUCCCUCUCCCCCUCUUUCCUUCUCUCCUACUCCAACAAGGAAAGGAGGAGUCCUACUCCCGGUGGGAGUAGGACUCCCCCCUUGGCGCGCCCUCCUCCUUGGCCGGCCGCCUCCCCCUUGCUCCUUUAUAUACGGGGGCAGGGGGCACCCCAUAAACACAACAAUUGAUCGUUUGAUCUUUUAGCCGUGUGCGGUGCCCCCUCCACCAUAGUCUACCUCGAUAAUACUGUAGCGGUGCUUAGGCGAAGCCCUGCGUCGGUAGAACAUCAUCAUCAUCACCAUGCCGUCGUGCUGACGAAACUCUCCCUCAACACUCGGCUGGAUCGGAGUUCGAGGGACGUCAUCGGGCUGAACGUGUGCUGAACUCGGAGGUGCCGUGCGUUCGGUACUUGAUCGGUCGGAUCGUGAAGACGUACGACUACAUCAACCGCGUUGUGCUAACGCUUCCGCUUUCGGUCUACGAGGGUACGUGGACACACUCUCCCCUCUCGUUGCUAUGCAUCACCAUGAUCUUGCGUGUGCGUAGGAAAAUUUUCGAAAUUACUACGUUCCCCAACAGCUGCUUCCCAUGCUGCCGGAGCCGAGCACGGAGAUCGUCUACAUCUUCGACGACGAGUAGCUUGGUGAUCGACGUAUUACAUAGGUUUAUUUUAGUUUGCAUGUCUUUGUAUGGAUUUGAGAAUCUAGUAUGAGAUGUCCCACUACUAGGGAAAACCUUGGAAACAGAAUCUUACUAGCAGCGCGCAUUAAAACAAAGCGCUGCUGCUAUCUAGCAGUAGCGCGUGUCGGCAAAACGCGCUGCUGCAAUAAAAGUAGAAGUAGCGCGCCUGUACUAAGCCGCGCUACUGCUAUAAUUGCCACGACCUCGCCGCCAAGCUAGUUAUAGUGGUAGCACCUUAUUCCAGACAUCGCUACUGCUAUUUAACUUAGCAGUAGCGCCUUUUGAUAAUGCUCGCUACUGCUAAGUUUACUCCACUCCUUGCACCUAAAUUUAGUCCCACCUCGCUCGGCGAACAUGGUUUUUACCACCUUAAUUAUGUUACCACUUGGUGUUCAUUGAACUCUAUGUGUAGAAUUUGUGGCCGCAAUAUGAGUCUUCUCCGGUUUCUAAACUGGUGAGGACUCAUAUUGACAAUUCAGAUUGUACACAAAAAGAUCAUUGAUGAUCAAUGUAUUUUUGAUGUUUAUUUUUACAUGCUUAGACUUAGCAGUAGUGCGUUGUAGCAGAAGGCGCUACUGCUACGGGCCUAGCAGUAGCGCUUCUUAGCUGAUACAUGUUGAUAGAAUAUGUUUUGUUUAUAUUUUGUUUAUGCAGAAAUCAAGUAUUAGCCUGCCUCAUCCCCGCAGUCGUCCCCAUCGCCGACCCCCUAAGAACUCUAGGUGAGAAUAGCCAAAUCCCCAUGCUGUUGAUAUAGAUGAUAAUGUGUUGUAAAUGUCGAUGAUGAAAAUGCUAGUGCUAGUCGCCAUGUCAUUGAUGUCGAUGAUGAUCCAUUCUGAAUAUAGAGGAUGUCUUGGUGUUCUUGUUUGCAAUGUAUCUCCGAGUGGCCUAUGUUUUGCCGGAAUGUUGAUUCGUUUCCAUUCCGGCAUAUUUCAGGCGCUCGAUAUGUCCUGUUUUAGCAAAGGUCAUGCCGAUUUUUUUUCAUGAAUUUUAGCACGACUUGUGCUGCAAUGUAGGACAUAUCGAGUGCUUGUGAUUUGUCAGAACAGGAAUUCAAUGAUAGUCCGGCAAAACAUAGGGCAUUUUUCUAUGCCAUUGCUCAAUAUAUCGCAAAGUGUUUAUGAAUUUUGUUUUCAUAAUUAAGCAUUUGUUUUCGACGUCGACGAUGCCUAUCCCGCAUUCUCGUCGUCGACUCGACAGAGGUGGCCUGCUUGAUCAGUGGGGCCAUGUCCGGGACUGGGCUCCGCCGGGCUGGUACUGGGAGGUGCUACCUUCCGGGGCGCACAACUUGGUGAGGAGGCAGCCCGUCGUCGACCCAGACCUUCUUUGGUGGCUCGCGUGGGCCAGUGACAGUGCAGAGGCUUUUGUCCAUCACGGAGGUGGUACGUUACCGUGUCAGCGAGGAGGACAAGCACGUCCGUCGCUUCAUGGUUGCGUCGGAGGGCAGGUUCUCCAAUACCUGGCAGGUUCUUCAGGGAUCUCACUGGAGCUAUGAUCCUGUAAUGGUUCCUUCUCUUUGGGUGUCCACCGCCCGCGCCGAUACCCGUCGUUCGCUAGGGUUCUAGCUGUAUUAGUGAUGUUAUAUGUAUGAUACUAUUCGAGAUGUACUAGUGAUAAUAUUCAAAGAUGUAUGGAUGCAAGAGAUGAUUUAGUUUUGCUCAUUGAAUGCAUGCUAAUUUGAAAACUAAAAUUGGAGAUAAUUGAACGACAUUUCGGGUUGACUUUAAGUCUGUCGGGACUCCACCAUACAUGAGAGAAGAAGAAUGUCGACUGUUGUCGUGGGGGUCGUUCCUCCUCUUCUUUCUCGUGAUAGACCUUUUGGUAAUGCACGGGAAGGAAGGGAAGAAUGACCAUCACCGACGGUCGCAAAUGUCCGAGAGGAAUCAAUGAGGGAGUGUGUCCACCAUAUAUGAGAGAGGACGAAGAAUCCCGACUAUUAUCGUGGGGGUCGUUUCUCCUUCUGCUAGACCUAUGUUAUGCACUAGGGGAAGCAGGAGUAACGACCAUCACCGACGGGCGCAAAUGUCAGUGAGGAAUCAAUGGGGGAGAGUCUCCACCAUAUAUGAGAGGACGAAAAAUCCCUGUUGUUGUGGGGGCCGCUUCUCCUUCGUUCCCGCGUGCUAGACAUUUUGGUGUAAUGCAUUCGGGGACGAAAGGAGCGACCAUCACCAACGGUCGAAUGUAUACACCACGUGAGCUGAGAGUUUUCAAGAAAAGACUCGACAGACCGAUAGUCAACCCAUGAUGAAUAAUAACGAUCUAAUUUAGUUUUUGUAGUACAUAUAUUUAAUUGUACGAGUUUAAUCUUUGAAUUAUGAACAUAGGAAAUGUCGUCGAUGUCGUCGUUGGACGACGAAAGUCUCCCGGCGGAGUGCGACUGCUGCGGUGAUGACCGGGGUCUGUGCGACAGGCCUCACCUGGUAGAAGGUCGCCGCUUCGGCAUUAAGCUCCAGGAGACCUUUGAUGUUCAAACGGUACGCAAUGACGACAAGUUAUUUUUCAUAAUUAAGCACGACUUCUGCUACUUCAACGUGUAAUUUUCGUCUUUUACAAUUCAACUAGCUUAUCUCAUGCCAUGCAAGAGCUAUGUCUUUGUGACGCCCGGAUAAUUAAGCUACAGUAAACCUUUGCUAAUGAUGCCACGUCACCUCAGUGAAAGUUGAUAAACUCACGUUAGUUCAAAACGAUUCAAAUUCAAAUUUAAAGUAUAGGCAAGCAACACAAGUUUUUAAACAAUAAAACUAAAAUGUUCGGGUCGUGCCAAAUAAUGCGUAUGUAAUUAUGGUGGACAAACCACAUUUUUAUAAAGUAUUUAAUUGCAAUGAGGUAAAUAAAACAGUAACAAAAACAAAUAAAUAAAUGCCUUUUUCAGUUAAUAAAAUAUUAAGCUAACUUAUUUAUUUGCCCAAAACUAUUGGGGAAGUGGCAUAUUUAUUAAAACUAAAUUAGGAACUAGUUUUGUAUUUCAUUUAAACUAUAAGAGGGUGAGACUAAGAGAAAACAGAAACAUGAAAAUCAAUAAAUUAAAACAGAGAAACCCCCUGGCCCUACUGGGCCUCAACCCAACCGACCGGCCCACCGUUGCCAGCCUACUUAACCCACCCUAAACCCUAACCUAGUCGAUCCCCUCCCCACUCACCCCCGUUCCUCCCCACUCUGGAUCUGGAUCGAGGAACAAGCCCCGACCCCUUCGACGUCGUCGCCUCGUCCUCGUCCUUGUCGUCACCUCGCCGCCCCCAUCGCCGGAAUUCGCACCGCCCCAAGCUCUGGCGCCUCCCCGACUCCUCCCCGAGCCCGCUUGUGCUCAACUACAGGGCCUCGUGAGCUCUCUCUCUCCUUUUCUUCCCGUUUUCCCUCUCUCCCUAGCUCGACCCCAAGCUCCUGUCGAGCUGCUGCUGCCGCUAAACCCAAGCCCUGCGCCACCUGCUGUCCCUGCUGCCGCUGCGCGUCGCACGAGCUCGUCUGCUCACGCACGCCCGUGCUCGCGCACACCGCCCGCAACUGCUCAUCGCGCCGUGGCCNNNNNNNNNNNNNNNNNNNNNNNNNNNNNNNNNNNNNNNNNNNNNNNNNNNNNNNNNNNNNNNNNNNNNNNNNNNNNNNNNNNNNNNNNNNNNNNNNNNNNNNNNNNNNNNNNNNNNNNNNNNNNNNNNNNNNNNNNNNNNNNNNNNNNNNNNNNNNNNNNNNNNNNNNNNNNNNNNNNNNNNNNNNNNNNNNNNNNNNNNNNNNNNNNNNNNNNNNNNNNNNNNNNNNNNNNNNNNNNNNNNNNNNNNNNNNNNNNNNNNNNNNNNNNNNNNNNNNNNNNNNNNNNNNNNNNNNNNNNNNNNNNNNNNCCCGCGCCGCCGCUGCACCGCCUAGCGCCGCGUCGGCCCGCCUCCCGUCCUCACCGUGCCCACGAGACGCCGCGCCCGGCGCUCGUGCCCAUCGGGCGCCCACGGCCUUGCCCACUAGCACACCCGACCCGCAAGGCCCCUGUGCCACUGACAUGGGGCCCCACGCCCCUAGAAUGUUUAAAAAAAAGGAAUUGAAAAAAUUAUAAAUAAAAAUAAAAAUAUCAAUUAAUUAAUUAAUCAACUAAAUAAUUAACUUAAUUAAUUUUGUUUAAAUUAACUAAUUAAGAUUAAUUCACCUAACAACUAGUUAACCUAAUUAUCCACUUUUAAUUAGCUAAAUAGUCCCUGACAGGUGGGACCCACCUGUUAGGUUGACCAGGUCAACGGUCAACGUUGACUGCCGACGUCAUGCUGACAUCAUGCUGACGUCAUAAUAGCAUUUUUGAAUUAAAUUAAAUAUGUUAUUUCUAGAAAUUGAUAAAAUCUAUAAAAAUUCACAUAAAAUAAUCCGUAACUCGGAUGAAAAUACUUUGUACAUGAAAGUUGCUCCGAACGACGAGGCGAAUCUGAAUACGCAGCCUGUUCGUCCGCCACACGUCCCUAGCAUAGCGAUCCUGCAAAUUUCCCCCUCCAGUUCAUCUGUCCGAAAACGCGAAACACCGGGGAUACAUUCCCGGAUGUCCCCCCCUUCGCCGGUAUCACCUCCUACUGCGUUAGGUCACCUCUAGCCCCGCGUAUUGCCAUGUUACGCUUUGUGAUGCCUUGAUUGCUCUGUUAUUUAUUGUGUUCCCCCUCCGUUACUUCUUUCUGGUAGACCCCGAGGCUGCUGGUGACCCCCAGUUCGACUACGGUGUUGACGACCCGUCCUUCUUGCCAGAGCAACCAGGCAAGCCCCCCCUUGAUCACCAGAUAUCGCCUAUUCUUCUCUCUACUGCUUGCAUUAGAGUAGUGUAGCAUGUUACUGCUUUCCGUUAAUCAUAUCUUGAUGCAUAGCCUGUCCUUGCUACUACCGUUGUUACCCUUACCUGCUAUCCUAAUGCUUAGUAUAGGAUGCUAGUGUUCCAUCAGUGGCCCUACACUCUUGUCCGUCUGCCAUGCUAUACUACUGGGUCGUGAUCACUUCGGGAGGUGAUCACGGGCAUAUGCUAUAUACUUUAUACUGUUACAUUACUUAUGAUACUGUUCGGAGAUGGGGGCUGAAGGGGCAGGUGGCUCCAUCCCGGUAGAGGUGGGCCUGGGUUCCCGAUGGCCCCUGACUAUUACUUUGUGGCGGAGCGACUGGGCAGGUUGAGACCACCUAGGAGAGAGGUGGGCCUGGCCCUGGUCGGCUUCCGCGGUUACUUCAUAAUAACACGCUUAACGAGAUCUUGGUAUUUGAUCUGAGUCUGGCCAUUUGGUCGAUACGCACUAACCAACUACGUGGGAAAGAUAUGGGCACUCGACGUCGUGGUAUCAGCCGAAGCCUUCGUGACAUCAGCGACUGAGCGGCGCGCGCCAGAUUGGACCGCGUAACGUGACUUCCUUUGUAAUGGAGGUUGCUAGGUCUGCUUCCGGCCGCCCUCGCAACGUGUAGGUGUGCAAUGGGCGAUGGGCCCAGACCCCUGCGCCAUAGGAUUUAGACCGGCGUGCUAACCUCUCUGUUGUGCCUAGGUAGGGCUGCGACGUGUUGAUCUUCCGAGGCCAGGCAUGACCCAGGAAAGUGUGUCCGGCCAAAUGGGACCGAGCGUGUUGGGUUAUGUGGUGCACCCCUGCAGGGAAGUUUAUCUAUUCGAAUAGUCGUGUCCCUCGGUAAAAGGACGACCCGGUUGUACCUUGACCUUAUGACAACUAGAACCGGAUACUUAAUAAAACACACCCUUCCAAGUGCCAUACACCACCCGCUGAUUGCUCUCUCACAGGUCGACGAGGAGAGGAUCGUUGGGUUAGGAUUAUGAUAUGCGAUGAUACUUGGUGAACUUACCAUCUACUCUCUUCUACAUGCUGCAAGAUGGAGGCUACCAGAAGCGUAGUCUUCGACAGGACUAGCUACCACCCUCUUAUUCUGGCAUUCGGCAGUUCAGUCCACCGAUAUUGCCCCUUUACACAGAUACCCAUGCAUAUGUAGUGUAGAUCCUUGCUUGUGAGUACUUUGGAUGAGUACUCACGGUUGCUUUUCUCCCUCUUUUCCCCUUUCCAUUCUACCUGGUUGUCGCAACUAGAUGUUGGAGCCCAGGAGCUUGACGCCAUCGUCGACAACGACUCCUACUACACCGGAGGUGUCUACUACUACGUGCAGGCCGCUGACGACGACCAGGAGUAGUUUAGGAUGAUCCCAGGCAGGAGGCCUGCGCCUCUUACGAGCUGUAUCCUAGUUUGUGCUAGCCUUCUUAAGGCAAACUUGUUUAACUCAUGUCUGUACUCAGAUAUUGUUGCUUCCGCUGACUCUUGUGUAUUCGAGCUUAUGUAUUCGAGCCCUCGAGGCCCCGGGCUUGUAAUAUAAAGCUUGUAUUAUUUUAAUUUGUGUCUAGAGUUGUGUUGUGAUAUCUUCUCGUGAGUCCUUGAUCUUGAUCGUACACAUUUGCGUGUAUGAUUAGUGUACGGUCGAGUCGGGGGCGUCACAGUCUUGGAGAGGAUGGAUUUUGAAGAUCGUGAAAGUAUGGAAACAAUGAUAAUUCACCUAAGGACCCAUCAUGGUAUGGAUCUUGAUGUAAAUCUAUACAAUUCUGAGUGUUACCCUUUUUGGUUGCCCGAAUUGGGAAGCACUUUGCAAGAUGUAUGAUUUUCAUGAGGGUAUGCUUGUCACCAUGGAUCUUGGCGAUCCUGACAUCGCCCAAGACAAUAUGGACAUUUGGGUCCUUGUUGAUACGCUUCCAAUUCUACCGCUAUGUGAGUUUCUCAAACAUAGUUAUUAAUUAAUUUAUAUUGUUUAUUUCAAAAUAGUUGACAGCUUAUUUCCAUUGAUAGCUUAUUUUCAUUCUUCAAAGAAUGUGCAGAAGAUGGUAGACAGAACCUACUACACCGAUCACUACAAAAAAAAGACACAUCCGUGACAUUUUGGGCCGAACGAAUUUUUUUCUGUCAUACAUAUGACACUUCUAUGACGAUAAUUGUGACAAAACCCGGUAUCAUCAUAGAUGUGGUGGCUCCUACUUCUAUGACAAAAAAUCAUGACAGAAAAUGGGCUUUUCGUCCUGGGCGGGCUGGAGAUGCAGCUGCAUGACAUUCUUUGGGCCGUCCAUGACGGAAAAAACCGUGGUAGAAGCGAGGGCGAGGAAAAUUUCGGGGAGUUCCCGGUUAUGGUGGGAGGUCGGGGGCCGAGCGAUGCGCGUUUCUCUCGUACACGUACGCGCAUGUGUGCGAGGCGUUGGCUCUAACUGAACCCGAGCGAGGCGUUGGGCUCUAACUGAACCUGAGCGAUUGCACUGCAGCCACGCGUUACUGAACCCGAGCGAUCGAUCGAUGGCUAUUAACUGAACCCGAUCGAGCGAUUCCUUCGCUACUGCUGCUAACUGAAGCCGAUCGAUGCUGCCUCUGGGAUGAACAGUGAGCGUUGCGGGGGGGUUGGAUGAACAGUGAGCGGUGGCGUUGCCUCUGGAUGAACAGGACCCCGUGGUGUGGUGGAGGGCUGGAUGAACAGUAGACGGUGGAGGGGUGCCCGUGGAGGGGUGGUUGAACAUGACCCCGUGGUGUGGAGGGCAGGAUGAACAGUAGACGGUGGAGGGGUGCCCGUGGAGGGGUGGUUGAACACGACCCCGUGGUGUGGAGGGCUGGAUGAACAGUAGACAGUGGAGGGGUGCCCGUGGAGCGGUGGUUGAACAGUAGCCGGUNNNNNNNNNNNNNNNNNNNNNNNNNNNNNNNNNNNNNNNNNNNNNNNNNNNNNNNNNNNNNNNNNNNNNNNNNNNNNNNNNNNNNNNNNNNNNNNNNNNNNNNNNNNNNNNNNNNNNNNNNNNGGCUGGAUGAACAGUAGACGGUGAAGGGUGGUUGAACAGGACCCCAUGGUGUGGAGGGCUGGAUGAACAGUAGAUGGUGGAGGGGUGCCCGUGGAGCGGUGGUUGAACAGUAGCCGGUGGAGUAGCACGCGGUGGAGGCUGGAUGAACAGGAGCCUGUGGAGGCUGGAGGAGGUCGACGGUAGCCCGUGGUGGUUGGAGGAGGUCGAUGGUGGAUAUGAACAGUAUCCCGUGGAGUCCCGUUUUGCGGUACGCCACAACCCUCUCGAUGAACAGGNNNNNNNNNNNNNNNNNNNNNNNNNNNNNNNNNNNNNNNNNNNNNNNNNNNNNNNNNNNNNNNNNNNNNNNNNNNNNNNNNNNNNNNNNNNNNNNNNNNNNNNNNNNNNNNNNNNNNNNNNNNNNNNNNNNNNNNNNNNNNNNNNNNNNNNNNNNNNNNNNNNNNNNNNNNNNNNNNNNNNNNNNNNNNNNNNGGAGGUCCGUUUCCUCCGUUUUGUGGUACGCCACACCCCUCCCGAUCAACAGGACCCCCGUUUCGACCGUAGGAGGUCCGUUUCGUCCGUUUUGCGAUACGCCACACUCCUCCCGAUCAACAGGACCCCCGUUUCGACCGUAGGAGGUCCGUUUCCUCCGUUUUGCGGUACGCCACACCCCUCCCCAUGAACACGACGCAUUCCGUUGCCUCCCCAUGAACACGACGCAUUCCGUUGCCUCCCAUGAACAUGACGACGACGCUGUUUCUUCGUUCUGACCCAGCCAUGUACACGAGCCCUGGCCGUAUGUAUGCGCGAGUAGGCGUUCGAGACCCCGCCCGUAUGUACACAUACGUGGCCGUAUUUUCUUUCUUGCACCCUGGCCGCUGUACGUACGUGUACAUGCUACGUGCGCGCCUCUACUAUGACACGUACGCGCCUCUACUACGACACGGGCGCGCCUCUACAUCCACCAGUAUAUAUGUACGUACACGUUCGCGACCAGAAUGACAACGCUACGUACGCUUCGACCAGGUGGGUCCCGACUAUCAGGCACUUCCUUGACUGCGAAGAUGUAGCUGGUGGGUCCCAGCAGUCAGGGGGGCGAAUCGUUUUUUUUUUGCCCGGACGCACUUCCUUGCGUGCGAAGAUGUAGCUGGUGGGUCCCAGCAGUCAGGGGGAAACGUUUUUUGCACGAAAUACAGUGGCCCGUCCGGUGGGUCCCAGCUCUCAGGUGGAGGAAUAAUUAUAUUCCGCGUAAUAAGGAGGCACUUCCUUGCUGCGGCCGUGGACCCAGCUGUCAGCCUCUCCACGUACAGUCCACGUCCGAUGGAAGUCGUUCCUUGACCACGUUGACCACGCCGCGCCGAGAGCACCAGGGCGGUGGACGACGGUGAGGCCUAGGAAGGGGAUGACGGGGAGCCGGGGAAGACGCGGCAGUGGAAGCUCGCGUGGAGAGGAGUACGAGGGUUCACUGGUUCGGCUGCGGUGUGAGGCUGCCGUCGCCGCAGGGCCUGGCCAGCGAUGGGAAUAGUAGGGGCGUUGAGACCUCCGCGGCAGCACAGCCGGCCACGGGAGGCAGGAGCAUGCGGCACGACCGGCGCUGCUUUGAGCGGCUGGAGCAAGAAGACCAGAGGUUGAAGAAGCACUACGGCCGUUGGAUGGACAUCGUACGGUCACUGGAGCUAGAAUCGUUCAUAUUGACUAAAGUUGAAAAAGGCCCCCGUCCCAGUCAACUUAGUAGGCCCACAAGUCAGCCUCCCACCAUGGUGGGUCCCAGCUAGCAGGGGGGUAUUCAUUUUUUUGUGCGUAAUAAGGAGGCACUUCCUUGCGUGCGAAGAUAUAGCUGGUGGGUCCGAGCUGUCAGCGGCGGUAAUGUUUUUUUUCACAAAAUACAGAGGCCCUUUCGGUGGGUCCCUGAUGUCAGGUGGAGGAAUCAUUAUUUUCCGCGUAAUAAGGAGGCAUUUCCUUGCGUGCGGCCGUGGACCCAGCUGUCGGCCUCUCCACGUAUAGUCCACUUCAGAUGCAUGUCGGUCGUUGACCACGUUGACCAGGCCGCGCCGAGAGCACCAGGGUGGUGGACGACGGCGAGGCCUAGGAAGGGAACGACACGGAGGCAGGGAAGACUCGGCAGUUGUUUCCCACGCGGAGGGGAGUGCGACUGUACGAGGGUUUACUGGUUCGUCUGCCAUCGCCGGACAAUAACAGCAGGUGUGGGUGAGUAGAGGGAUGGCUAGGCCAGCGAUGGGAGUACGGUGGGGCGGUGAGGCCUGCGCGGCAGCAGAGCCGGCCGCGGGGAGGAGGGAGCAGGCAGUCCCGCUGGCGCUUGUUUGAGCGGCUGGAGCAGGAAGAGCAGAGAUUGAAGAAGCACGACGGCCGUUGGAUGGCCAUCCAACAGUCACUGCUUGUGCGUCAACCUUUUUUUAGGAUAGCCUCAAAUCUGUGAAAAACAGCAUACAACCCAUCUGCCAUUAUUUCUAAUAAUUUACAUCCCAUUUGCUAAUUAUUAAGGUUUUUUUGGAGCCCAUAUUCUUUUUGUUAGCAUUACAGCCCAUAUUGUGGCCACGGUUAAAAAAUUAUACGAAAUUUGGCAUAUUUCGGUGCGGUCCGAACUGUUUUUAAUCCUGAAAUUUCGACUCACAUUCAAACUGAUUUUAAAAAUAAAUGUAUAUCAAUAUAAAAUCCAACAAAUUCUCUAUGCAUAAAAAUUAAUGUAAUUUAAAAUCUCAAAAUGAAAAAAAAGAUAUUUGAAUCUAAUUGCCGGUUUGAUGUGUGUAAAAAAUGUACAACCCAUUUCUCAUUACUGAUGGGCCAUUUUCUCGGCCAGCCGAAUGAAAGCUCUCCUCGUCUUGAAAGAUUUGCAGCCCAACAGGCCUGACAAAGCGACUUACUUGGCAAAUCACAAAAAAACUGGGUUGUGGCCGUGGACCCAGCUGUCAGCCUCUCCACGUACAGUACUCUUCCGAUGGAAGUCGUUCCUUGACCACGUUGACCACGCCGCACGGAGAGCACCACGGCGGUGGACGACGUCGAGGCUUAGGAAGGGGACGACGCGGAGCCGGGGAAGACGCGGCAGUGGAAGCCCGCGCGGAGAGGAGUACGAGGGUUCACCGGUUCGGCUGCGGUGUGAGGCUGCUAUCGCCGCAGGGCCUGGCCAGCGGUGGGAAUAGUAGGGGGCGGUGAGGCCUCCGCGGCAGCACAGCCGGCCACGGGAGGCAGGAGCAUGCGGCACGACCGGCGCUGCUUUGGGCGGCUGGAGCAAGAAGACCAGAGAUUGAAGAAGCACUAUGGACGUUGGAUGGACAUCGUACGGUCACUGGAGCUAGAAUCGUUCAUAUUGACUAAGUUAACAAAGCCCUUCGUCCCCGUCAACUUAGUAGGCCCACAAGUCAGCCUCCCAGCAAGGUGGGUACCAGCUAUCCGGGUGAGUAUUCUUUUUUUUGUGCGUAAUAAGGAGGCACUUCCGGUGGGUCCGAGCUGACAGCGGGGGGAACUUUUUUUCGCGAAAUACGGUGGCCCGUCAGGUGGGUCCCAGCAGUUAGGGGCAAACGUUUUUUUUUGCAAAAUACGGUGGCCCGUCCAGUGGGUCCCUGCUAUCAGUUGGAGGAAUCAUUAUUUUCCGCGUAAUAAGGAGGCACUUACUUGCUGCGGCCGUGGACCGGGCUGAGACUCUCCACGUAUAGUAUACUUCCGAUGGAAGUCGUUCCUUGACCAUGUUGACCUCGCCGCGUUCUGUUGCAUGCAUGCGUCCAUGGGCGUGGUGCGUCCCUACUGUCAGCCUCUCACGUACAGUCAUCUUCCGAUGACUCUCGGUUGUUGACCACGUUGACCACACCGUGUCGAGCGCACCCAGACUGGAACGACCCGGAGAUGGGGAAGACGGGGCAAUGGAGUCGCAGAUGGAGAGGAGUGGGAAACUUCACUGGUUCAGGUGCGCGGCAGCACAGCCGCGGUGCCGCCCACGGGAGACAGGAGCAAGAACAGAGGUUGAAGAAGGAGCACGGCUGUUGGAUUAACAUCCAACGGUCCAACUGCUAGAAUCAUUUGUUGAUUAAGUUGACAAAGUCGUGCGUACACGUCCGCUUAGUAGGCCCACAAGUCAGUCACCAAAUCUGACGGGUCCCAACUGUCAACGGGAUGAAUAAUUUUUUUCGCAAAACAAGGAGGCACUUCCUUCUGUGCGAAGAUACAGCCGGUGGGUCCCAGCUGUCAGGUGGAUAAAUAAUUUUUUCGCAAAACAAGGAGGUCCCUCCUGUAGCUGGUUCGAAUCCGAACCUAGACUAUGACUAUAUAUGGUGCUAUGCUACUCUGCAAGUAAUGAAACUUACAUAUCCAACGUUCGCUUCUCCUCUUCUCUACUUACUUUGCCUAGCAUCAGAAGCUCUGGCCGCAGCAACCAUGUCCGCUGGCUGCUCGUCCACCUGCUCUUCAGCAGGAAACAACCAGAUAUGCGCCAAGUCGCCACCCGUACCAUCGCCUGUGGGUCUCAUCACACCCCCGCCGGCACGCGCACCGCAGCCGAUUGCUCAUCGCAACCCACUGCCGUUGGUGUGGUGCCACUGCUGCAAAUCACGCAGAGUCAUCCGUCGCGUCUCAACCACAAUUCGCAACCCUGGCCGAGUCUUCUACAAAUGCCCGAAUCAUGGGGUAAUAAUAUGUUUAAGUGUUGUUCUGCUGCUUUCAGUUGCUGAUUUUUUUAAUAGUUUGGUUGAUGAUCUUCCAAUUUGAUUCGUGCAGAAAAGGGAAGAUUCAUGUGAUUUGUAUUUCUGGGAAGUUGCUGAUGUGGGGGAAUGCAACUACGCUGAUUAUUUGGUUAGCCAAGGAAUCCCAAUACCAGCAGGUUGGGGUGUUGGACAAGUAACUGAAGGAACAGCAGAAGAGGAAGAUGCAGAGCAGAAGGUUAAAGAUGCAGUUCCUCUGAUCAUGGCCAAGCAACAGCUGCUGAACGGCCUUGACAGCAAUGAGGAGAUGAAAGAGCUUGUGAAGAUAAUGGGCAAAAUCGAUGUGCUCUGUAGGAUGAUUGUCUCUUUAUUUGCAGUGUAUGUAGCACUCGUGAUGUAUUCAGUGGCUACGACAUGAGCACUUUGCUGAAACUAGUAAUGAAUGAAACCUGUGUAGCAGGCUGGGCGUAGUGUUGUGAACAUAUAAUGAUUUCUAUUAACGGAAAUCAGGGGGUAUCCCCUUUUGCUUAUAUAAAUAAAUAAAUAGCAGAGGCCCUGUCGGGUCAGCUUUGUUCUCAUUCGAAGACGUCGAGCAAAUUGCAGUCCAACAGCAAACUAUGUCAUCAAAUUCAAGUUUCACAGCCAAAUAUGAGUACAACUAAACAACAAUGUCAUCAUGUUUUAGUUGUCAUAGAAUCACCAAACACAAAUCAGCAUACAUAACAAGUGAUGUUCUCACAGCAAAAUACUAAACAACAUGUUCAUCAGGUUUCAGUUGUCAUAGCAAACACAAUUUCACAUAGUAGAUAAAAAAACGUCUUCUGACAGGCAAAUACGACAAAAGCAAUGUAAUCAUCAUCCGCAGCAGCAGCGUCAACAUCUUCUCCAUGUGUAUCAGUCUGAAUCGUAAUUCCCCACGGUGUCAUCUUCUUCUUCGUCCUCAACGUCCUCGAACGUUGGCUUCUUCUUGAUCAACUCUUGUAUGUCCACAGCACGACAGGCAAUCUUUUCGCCGGCGUCAUUGACGUGAUGGUUCUCAAAGAUAUUAGGAACAUCUGUGUUAUCUUGUACAUCAGGAGCAGUGUAAGCAUCAUCUUGUUGUGCAACUUCAUUAAACGAAUUCCUCUGCUCAAACCUUUGCAAUACUCUCCAGUCAUCGCUACGUGCAAAUGUGUCUUCCAAGAAAAAUAUCUGUGUUGCUUGAUUUGCCAAAAUAAAAGGCUCGUUGGUCUGGUACGCCGCCUUGACAAUGAUGGAUUUGAAAUAAUCAUCAGCUCUGGGUUUUGCGAUCCUAGAAAACAGGUUAUACCAACGACAGCACAACAGAACCACACAUCGAUGAUCCUCGAAACUAGAGAUAUACUACAACUGAACAGUGUCUGCUAUGUUAGCAUACAUUUCAGUUGUCUCUUUGUCAUACGUAUUCGUGCUCAUGAUGGCACUGUUUUGUGUCUUCCUACCUUCGUCUCGUGCAAGGGUGUUGUAGCGCACAUCUCCAACAACGUAAGAUUCAUAAUGUCUUACCUGAGUAUCAGGACCCAUUGCUAGUGAGUAAAGGGCAUCAUCAACUGCCUGCCCAUCCUCCCACAUCUUCUUAACCUAUGGUUAGAAAAUAGACAAGCUGAUCAUCUUAUAUACUCAAUAAAUUAAAAAAACUGACAGUGCACUUGAAAAGCUUACAUGGUUCUUGAACCAUUUCUAAAAUCCUGCCAUAACCAGUUUGUCAAUGUUUCUUGGAUUUUGCGGCAGUAACUCCUCUUUGUAGACGCUGCACAACAUAGUGAUCGCGUCAAACAUCUAAAUAUAUAAGAAUGUGCUGCAAGUUUAGUAGAUUACGAGGUAUAAGCUGCAGUACUGCACUUACUUGAUAUAAGGUAGUAUCUCAGGACAGUUAUUCAAUACAUACAAACCAUUUUGUCCAAAUCUUUAGGUUUGUCCUCUUGUCGACUCUUCCCUGUAACUCGAACAGAAUAAUCGAAAACAUUGAGCCCGGGAUUGUCUUCACCCACCUCUUUGCUAAGCUGAUCAGCUGUUUCAAUGUAUUUUGAGCAGAAUGUCAACGCUUCUGUAGCAAUGUAGGCCUCUGCAAUGGAACCCUCGAGUCUAGCUCUGUUCCUAACAUAGCCCUUGAAAGUGCCUAGCCGCCUUUCAAUAGGGUACAUCCAGCCAUACUGUACUGGACCUCUAAGUAGUGCCUCAUCAGGUAGAUGAACAGCCAAAUGCACCAUCACAUCAAAGAAGGCUGGAGGAUAUAUCUUCUCAAGGUCGCAUAGGAUAGUUGGUAUCUUGUCUCUAAGACGCUCCAAAGCAUCUAUCCUGAUAUUGCUACUGCAGAGUUCUCUAAAGAAUUGUCCCAACUCUGCAACUGCUCUGUAUAAGUCAGGGCGGCCCAAUCCUCUAAGGAUAACAGGUAAAACCCUUUGAAGUAGGACGUGGCAGUCAUGAGUUUUCAACCCUUGUACCUUGUUUCCAUCUGCACUGACUCUCCUUUCAGGGUUGGAAGCAAAUCCAUGUGGGAAUCUCACACGUGACAGGACCUCGCAGAAUUCUUUUCUUUUUACCUUGUCCAAGACGUACACAGCUGGUGCCAUAUCCUGUGGUUUACCUUCAUCUUGCACCUGCAAAUCCUUUCUCAUACCCAGGUGUGUCAAAUCAAUCCUAGAUUUUAAGGUAUCUUUGGUCUUGCCUUCAAUAUUAAGAAGUGUGCCGAUAAUGCUGUCACAUAUAUUUUUCUUGAUGUGCAUCACAUCAAGAUUAUGCCGCAGAUCCAAAUAUUUCCAAUACUCCAAGUCCCACAAAGUGGACCUGCGGGUAAACAAAAAUCUCUCUUCUACCCUGCCAUGCUUCCUUUUCCCGCUACCAUUAACAGGAUGGUUUCCUGGUGUAAUAUGCCUGACCUUCUCUAAUUCCACUUGCAACUCAUCGGCGGUGAGCCUCUUUGGCGCAUCACGGUUUUCAUGCUUUGCAUUGAAGACAUGUCUUCGGUAUUUUCUAGGAUGCGGCUUGUCCUUGGCAAGGAAACGGCGGUGUCCAAUGUAACAGAUCUUGCUAAGUAUUGCGUAUGACAGCGGAUUCCUGUCACAGCGAACACAUGCAUUGUAACCAUGUGUCGUUCGCCCAGACAUAGUGCCCAAAGCCGGAUAAUCAUGGAUGCACCAAAUUAUAACAGCACGCAGAAAGAAAUCAGCUGGUGGGCUGCUAUAUAGGUCUCGAGUGAGAACACCCUUCCAUAGAUGUUGAAGUUCCUCCACAAGAGGCUCCAUGAACAAAUCAAAAUCCUUUCCAGUACUUUUUGGACCUGGGAUGAGCAAGGCCAUCAUGUAGUUUGAUUCUUGUGUGCAGACAUUUGGAGGCAUGUUGUAAGGGAUAACAAGCACUGGCCACAUGCUAUAUGUGGCGCUCUGGUGGCCAAAUGGGUUAAAUCCAUCUGAAGCUAAGCCAAGUCUAAUGUGUCUCGGGUCAGCUGCAAACUCUGUGUUUAUCAUUGAAGCUUUUCCACUCACUACCAUGAGAUGGAUGGCUCAUUACAUUCUGAUCUCUGUACUCCUGGUUCCUAGAAUGCCACAGUACAUCCUCUCUUGUUUCAGCAUCAUGAAACAACCUCUGCAAUCUUGGUAUAAUUGGAAAAUGUCUCAGAACAUUAUGAGGAUUCCUCUUCACAGCAUUGCCAUCUUUCCAUCUUGAUGAUUUGCAUUUCAGGCAUUCACUUAAGUUGGCAUAAUCCUUCCGGAACAGAACACAAUUAUUCUUACAAACAUGGAUCAUAUCAUAUCCAAUUCCAACUGCACGAAGGAAAUUCUUCAUUUUACUGUAGGUGUGUGGUAGCUCAGACGCAUCUGGGAAAGAUUCGCGGAAAGCAGCCAACAUCGCAUCGAACGAUUUGUUGGUCAUCCGCUCAGAUGUCUUCACCUGAAGAAAGGUGACCAUAGCUGAGAAUACAGACAGCUUAUUUCCUGGGGUGACAGCAACGUUGCAUUGUUCCAACAUGCGGGCCCACCGUUUUUCUUCUGCACGUGAAAGUUCACGGAAUGCACGAGCAUUUCGUAGCAUUGUUUCAAUGUUGGUCAAACUCACUAGCUCCGCCACCACCACCUCCUCCUCCACUUCCACCUGAGCAUCAGGCAGAUCAAGAUGGUGACCUGCUGCUUCCACGUAGUCAAUAACAUUGACGUUCACAGCUUCACCAUGAUGAACCCACCUAGUAUAUGUGACCGACAUCCCAUACAAGUGUAGAUGAUUUUGCUCAGUUGACUGGGGUCUUGUAACUGAAUUCAUACAACUGCUACACGGGCAGAGCACAUCUGAUUUCGGACCACCGUACUUAGCUCUGAUAAAGUUCAUGAAGUUUUCAACCCACUCGACAUAUGCAGCGGAGAAUCUUCGAGUAGAAGUUAUCCAAGUCCUGUCCAUUUGUUAGACAUACAAAUUAGUUCUUCUACUAGAUAUUACAGGAAAAACAUAUAUGCUUUUUUAUGAAGUCCAGAAGAAAAAUACCUAGGUCGAUGUCUAAAGCUAUGGCAAGAUAUUUGGACGAGCAGAUCUAAGUAACGAGAUAUAUGUAAAGCUAAUUCAGCAAACAGAUUUGAGUGCUAAAUUAUGGCAGGCUGUUUCAGUAGUCAGUGAGGCCGAGCACACAGCCAUCGAAUUAUCGAAGGCCAUCGCAGCAACAAAGAUCGAGUAUAAAACGGUGUAGAGCUAUUUCACCUAACAGAUUGGCUACUAGACCAUGGCAAUCUACGUCACAAUAAAUAUAUGGCAGGAUAUUUUAGCAACUAAUAGGCCUUGGCAUGCCAUCUCAGCUAACCAGACUGAGUGCAGAACAGGGCAAGGAAGCUUCUUAAGCAGAGCAUAUUGACAGUAAACUACUUCGGCAAACAGUGAGAUUAACAGCGUCUAUCAGCUAACAUUCAACGCUACACCGACAUGAACGGGGCCUCAGUCUAGAAUGCGCGUACCGUGGGAGAAGCUGACCGCCGUGCGUCUCCACACGAACGUCGCCAGCGGUGGCGGCGCUCACGGUCGUGCGCCUCCACAAGAACGUAGCCAGAGGUGGCGGCACGGCUAGAGGACGGCAGUCUACGAGAGCGUACUGUGGGAGCGAGAGGAUCGCCGAACCGCGGCGCCAACGUAUCGGUNNNNNNNNNNNNNNNNNNNNNNNNNNNNNNNNNNNNNNNNNNNNNNNNNNNNNNNNNNNNNNNNNNNNNNNNNNNNNNNNNNNNNNNNNNNNNNNNNNNNNNNNNNNNNNNNNNNNNNNNNNNNNNNNNNNNNNNNNNNNNNNNNNNNNNNNNNNNNNNNNNNNNNNNNNNNNNNNNNNNNNNNNNNNNNNNNNNNNNNNNNNNNNNNNNNNNNNNNNNNNNNNNNNNNNNNNNNNNNNNNNNNNNNNNNNNNNNNNNNNNNNNNNNNNNNNNNNNNNNNNNNNNNNNNNNNNNNNNNNNNNNNNNNNNNNNNNNNNNNNNNNNNNNNNNNNNNNNNNNNNNNNNNNNNNNNNNNNNNNNNNNNNNNNNNNNNNNNNNNNNNNGGAUUUUCGCGCGGUGGGCGGGGGGAGUUUGGCGCAUGGUCGGUUUCUCCAAGUGCAGUCCCACGUGUCAGUGAAGAGGCAAGCCGAAGCACGUUCCGUUUGCGUGAGCCGUGUGCAGGAUGAAACGUGUGUGGGGUGUAAUGCGACCGCGACAGGAGUGUUGUGAGUGUACCGCCUUUUUUCCUUUUUAACUAGGUGCUUCCCCCCUCAAAAAAAAUUGUUGCUUCGCGCGAUCCAUCGAUACUACUACUAGUAAUCCGGUAAUCCCGACUAAAACGGCGCGGCCGGGUCUUUUCCCGCGCGAUAUGCUGGGAGGUUGGCUUAGUUGGGUUUUUAGGACGAGUAAUGCUACACCUACAUAAUCCCAGUUACGUAAUUAAUGUAAUGUGAAAUAUGUGAGCUGUUGAUUGUAGAUUGGGGGGAGGGAGGGGCCCACCAUCAUGUAUAUUAUUCUGAAAGUUCAUAUACACCGGCCGAGAUUAAUGCAAACACGGCAGAUUUUCAUUACAUUUCGAACUUUUAUAGGACAGAAAAAUAAAAGAAACCCGACCCUAAACCUAUUCUACGGCGGCGACCGACGUCCUCCAUCUACGAUCUCUAUGUACGGGGGCGGGGUUCAAGACCCGUGAAGUGAAGGUGCGGUCUCCGGCGAGGAAGAGUAGAACACGGGAUACAGACCGGCCAGUUGGCACACCAUGCCCUGCCGCCUCCCAUGCCCUACUCAUCCUCGGAGGAGUCCCCGACCUCGGCGGUGCCGGACGUUGGACGGCGCCAAGUAGGACGCGUGGCUGACGGUGCUCCCGUCGUCGGCCGCCAGCGUGGCCACCGCUUGUGCGGUCGCGUCCGCGUCCGGCUAUGCCGCUAUUGCGUCGCGAGAGGCGACUUGAGCGAGGGCAGCGACCUCGAGCUUCAUCCCCGAAGACAAGCUCUCCCGCAGAGCGUUCGCACUUGCGGUCAUGGCGGAUGUGGUUCCAGGUAGGAGGACGAUACGCUAUGGUGUGGAGGUUAGCUGGGCGUUGCCGCUUUAAGUAGCGCAUUCCGGUGAGGCCAAGCAUCCGGGUGCGUCAUUAAGUCGCCGGAGUUGGUUCCUCGGGCACCGAGCCUCUUAACGACGACAUACGAACGGACGGCAUGAAUGGGGGCAGCUGGCGCCGGCUGGGAACGCACCGCGCGACGGCGCGAGGGACGAGGGUUUUGGUGUGCCAGGGUAGUCAGCUGCGGUCGUGGCAACAUUGGAGACGCCCUUUGCUCACAUGCGAUCCCCGCAUGUCAUUGAAAAAGCAAGACGACCCGACAUGGUCUUAGGUCCAGAGGAUGCAGUUGGCCGCGCUACACCACUCCGCGGAUGCGUCGCGGCGCCCCGUGCAUCCUCGACGAGCCGGGUGUUGGGGUGUGUUUGGAUUGUGGCCAAAGUGCACCUUACCAAAAUUUUGGUCAUGACCCAAAGAUUGGUCUUUGUUUGGAUGGUUGCCAUUUUUUUGGCAUGCCAAUGAACUCUAGCCAACUCUAGUUCAUUUUUCUUGGCAAUGUCGGCCAAAUCAUGGGCAACCAAUACCUCAACCAAAAUUUUGGUCAUGACCCACUCUUUAUUUGGAUGGUUGCCAUUUCUUUGGCAUGCCAAUGAACUCUAGCCAACUCUAGUUCAUUUUUCUUGCCAAUGUCGGCCAAAUCAUGGGCAACCAAUACCUCAACCAAAAUUUUGGCUACCCAAUAAUUUGAUGGGGCAACCUUGGGCACAAACCAAACAUACCGUUGGUCGUGCCACGACACUAAUGCCACCCUCGGCACACUGAAACCGACCGUGUCUAGCGACGAUAUGAGUGUGUCGCUCACCGCGGUCGCUGUGUCCAGAGGCGAUGCUGGAGCUACGCCCCGUUGUUGGCCCCAACGACCCACAUGAACGGUUGUCGGUUGCGAGGAGGUCGUGGGCUAGCUCCUCCAUUGGACUAGUCUGCGCUACGUCGUCCCGACGGGUGUGCCCCACAUGUCAGUUUCCCUGUUUUCCCGGCCAUAUUCGAGCGUCAGUGCUCCGCGUUGCGCAUUAGGCCUUUCACCAUGUAGGCCAAGCGAGACAACUUAUUGUUUAUUUGAGCCAUAGUAUAAUCAUGUGGCGUUUGCUUAUUUCUCAUUCCUCUCCAACCCUCUUCUCCAUCGAUCAUGUCGCCCUCCAGUCGAGUCCAUCCUCCUGCAUGCGUCAUUUGAACAUUCCGCCGAGUAUCAUUCGCAUGUACCCACCCUAGUCCUCUUUCAAUAGAUCUCCGGACCCCGAGAUGAAAUCGAGAGGGAACGAGUGGGGGCACAUGAUACCUAAGGCGGAUUCAAAAUUUUGAACCGGUGAUCAUAGCAUCCGCAAAUCAUAUAUAAAGGGUAUUCAAUGUUCGUUUCGUUUUUGAACGUACUAUAUACUCCCCCUAUCCUUUCUAGUUUACAUAUAAGUUUAAUGUGUAGUCAAAGUAUCUCUACUUUGAUCAAAAAGGUAUCAACAUUCAACAACGCCCAAUCAAUAUUGUUAGAUUCGUACGUACUCCUAGAUUUGUACUCGAGAUGGUUUCCAAUUUGACUAUUGACAAGAUUAAUAGUACAUGAGAUGUAUAAUGUGAAAAUUAUAUCAUUGGAAACUCCUUUCACAUACAAAUUUGACCGUAUGCUUUGUGUAAGUUGCAUGUCAUAUAUUAUUACUCUAACAUUUGGUCAAAGUUAGCCACGAAAAACGCAUUAGACCCUGUAUGCUUUGUGUAAGUUGCAUGUCAUAUAUUAUUACUCUAACAUUUGUGUAAGUUGCAUGUCAUAUAUUAUUACUCUAACAUUUGGUCAAAGUAGUAUAGUGGAAGUGGAUCCUCUGACGUAGGUAUCCCUGCCUUACCCUCCCUUUCGGUCACUUACUGGCGGACCCCAUGCUUGCUAGGCCCCGCAUGUCAGUUACUCAAAGGGUUCGGCCACGUCAGGGGAUCCUCAUCCGUAGUAUACUCCCUCUGUUUUUAUUUACUCCGUAUAAAACGGAGGGAGUGGUGGUAUAAUAAAUGACGCGGGCGGGGGAGGGGGAGGGACGUCGGUUUGCUCUCAACUGCGGUCCCACAAGCGAGCGAAAACGCAAGACGAAGCGCGCUCCAUUCAGUGAGCGACGUGGAGGGUCCAGCGUGCCGGGCUGCAACGCGAACGCGACAAGAGCGAUGUACAGUCAAAACCGAUUGACCGGUCGUCACCGGAACAACUAUUCACACCAGAACCUUCGCUGCUCGGCCUACGCCAGCCACUGCCCUAAAACCACACCAAAUCUCCAGCCCAUUCCCCCACCUUUCGAUCCCCUAGCCCGCAUCAAGCGUCCCCUAGUUCGCCGGAAAGCCAUGGUACACCGCAAGAUCACUUACUACAAGAUGCUGACGCCGGAGCGCCGCGCAGAAAUCGCGGCGGCGGUCGGCGCCACAGACCUCCGUUCCCAAGCUCGCUUUGCGGCGGGCCAAUCCCCGACUUCUCUGGAGCCAAGCUACGAGGAGGAGGAAGCCGAUCCAAUGUUCAUGGCGGAGGUCGCGGCGCAGAAGGCCCCCGAUGGGUAUGAGACGAUGGACGUCGACUUUGUGCCGGCGUCCGAGUCCCCCAUGGUGCAGGCGGACCAGCGGUUCAACAUGGCGAUACUAAAGGAGGACCAGGAGGCAGAGGCUCAACUCGACGCGGAGCGCGCGCAUGCCGCUGCCAUCGAGGCUCUCCUGCAGGCGGAACCGGAUGUCGUGGAUGUGAACCGGGCGGCGGAGGCUCAACUUGAGGCGGAGCGCGCGGAUGCCGCUGCCAUCGAGGCCCUCCUGCAGGCGGAACCGGACGUCCUGGACUUGAACCGGACGGCAGAGGCUCGACUCGACGCAGAGCGCGCGGAUGCCGCUCUCAUCGACGCCCUCCUGCAGGCGGAACCGGACGUCUUGGACUUGAACCGGGCGGCGGAGGCUCGACUCGACGCGGAGCGCGCGGAUGCCGCUGCCAUCGAGGCCCUCCUGCAGGCGGAACUGGACGUCCUCGACUUGAACCGGGUUGUGCUCUCGUCCGUGCAGAGCGCCCGCACGCUCUGCUUGAACGAGUAGCUGAAGGCCAAGGACAACCACGGUGCGGAGACACACGUCUGCAGCGACGACUGGUUUGCGCCGGCAGCCAAAGACGACGAGGCCGUCUCUUUCCGCGAGCAGUGAUAGUUUUUCUUUAUGUUGUUGUUUUUAUGGAUCUUUUGCUGUGUAAAACAUAUAUUUGUUAUGCAAGUCGCCUGACUUGGGUCAGUCUACCAUUUCAGGCGGUUGGAUGAAUAUCCUACGUCUCCUAACCCUUCUUUCCUUCUUCCUCACCUCCUUUUCUUCCCCAACAGACCACCGCACGGGCCGUACGGAUACUCCCCAACAUGCGGUUGGAUAAACAUACUCUAUGAACGAAAAUUAUGUGUCAGAGAUAGGAUGGCUGAGUUUGAUUUGUUCACAUGCGAUAGCACAUGUCAGUGAGGGUGCGUUCCCCUGGUUGGGUUUGCGGCGUGCAGGAGCGACUGUGUGAGGGUGCGGUGCGACCGCGGCGUGCAGGAGCGACCGUGUGAGGGUGCGGUGCGACCGCGACAGCCGUGCGUAAGUGUACCUCCUUCUCAUUUUGAAAACUUUAAGCAAGCUUGGCAAAAAUGUGUGGCAAAGUUUGGCAAUGCAAGGCCUAGACCCAAACAGGAUAAGUACGUACGUACUAGGAGUACUAGUGUUAAAAAAGGAAGGCGGGGUUUUCCUUCGCGGGAUUUAAUCGAUACAAAUCCGCGUUUCACGUGUCAAUUAAUGCGUAUUUUUUUCUCCAAAGACCAAAGAGCUAACCAUCUCACUCCUCAUCGCUUGAUUAAUGCAGCGCCAUGCAAACCAACCUUCUCACUUCCGCAUGCAUGCAGGGGAUAUUAAUGUCCUUGGUUGCUAACCCCAUCAAUUUUGCCUCGAUUAGUGUUAGUGGCCCUUUGCAAAUUGUAAUUUUGAUAUACUGGCCUUGUGUACAAAAAAAAUGGAGGUAGUAACUAUAUUUGACUUCCUUCCCCAUUGCGGUGACGUCGAUGAUAUCUUUUUUUUGGUGGUUUGGCGAAGUGCGUUCGACGCAGAACACCAUUGAGGGAGACCACGGUAAGUCGUUCGCAAGUGCCGCCUGCAAGCCGAGACAACCGCCUUAUUUGCAUCCAGGAAGUCCUUUACUAGUACUACUAGGAGUACUAGUGCGGUGAGAUGGUUUCUCGAAGAAGACGAUGGAGAAGCGGAGUCAGCGAAGAGUGAAAUGAUGGUUGCUUCGUCCGUGCUUUUGUGAUUUGACGCCUCACUGCUUUGUGAUUUGUGAUAGAAGGGACAGGGGAGUAGACUCUGUGCUCUAUACUGUACUACAUGCGUCCAAGCAUGGGAGAAAGAGGAGAGACGUUGCAUUUUUCUAUUCCUUCAAUCAAUCAAGCAGGGAGCUUCGGUUCCAUCUUUUUGGCUUUGGCAACACCGUCCACAAUGGUUCCCAUGAUGCCAAAAGCUAUUUUCACAUUUGGCUACACAUUGUGGAUGCCCUUAACCGUACAACUUGAUUUUGCUCCUGUGUGCUAUCUAUACAAAUCUCAAUUAUAUUGAUCUAAAAAAUUAUAGAAUCAAGAUUAGUAAAAAGGAGGUGAUUUUGCCGCGCGGAUGGCGGGGGAGGUUUCUUAUUUGAGCAAUGCUACAUCCACGUAAUGGUUUACGUAAAGUUACGAACUGAUGUGAUGUGGGACUAUUUGAUUGGAUUACAGGAGAGGAUUAGGCCCACCCCACCUGAAAAUCAGGGGGGUCAUAUAUAGAUUAGAUGGAAAGUAUACGUAGCAGCUACGUAGCCCUUUGUAAGUCUAGGAUUAGGCUUCUUAUUUUCGGAGGACGUUGUCCUGGGGGUUUGCUAACAUGCGGUCCCACGCGUCAGUGCUUUACCAAGCCGAUCCGCGUCCCACAUGAGGCAGACCAACGGCAAAAGCAACACGUGGUUAUGUUGCAGAAGAUGAGGCAGAAGCGGAUUCAGCAACGAGUGAAAUGAUGGUUGCUUCGUCCCUCCAACUUAACUGCAGGAAAGGUGCAGCUUGUGAUUUGACGCCUCAUUUCUCAUUACUACGCCGGCGCCAUGACUGGGCUGCUUCACCCCGACUGCUCUCACUGUAUUCCGGUAUGGCACGUGGACCCGGUAGCUUGAUGUCCCACAUGUCGGUGAAAGGGACUAGAAGAUUUAUGAAAGCGAGCGCUCCACUCUUACGACGGAGGAGUAGACGACACGACGGCCCAGUGAACUGUCACUUGUAGUACUGUAUAGUACUAUAGUUUUGCUGUUUCGCACGAUCCAUCGAUACAAACCCGAUUAAACAGGAAAGGGCGGGAUUUUUCCCGCGCGGUAGAUGAUUUAAUGUAUGCAAACUGAAUAAUUAAGUAACAAUAUGAUAUCUAGUAAAACUAAAAACACAUAUGAUUUAAUGUGUUAGAUUGUAGUAGUAGUGCUGUAUUGCAUAGUUGUUAGAUGUAACAUGCGAGAACGUGUAGAGAUGUAGUUUUGGAGGGCCUACAGAGAGAAAAGGGUAAUACGGUCACCGAACUUCAGAAUAAGCUGAUUACGGUCACUAUAUACAUUUUGCGGUGAUUAUACGGUCACUUGCUCACGGUUCAUCAUCGGAUUGCACUCUGUUGACCGGCCAAAUAGUCUGCGUGGCACCAUGUUGACUAGUUAAAUUGACCAUGUUCCUUGUGGGUCCCACCUGUCAGUUCGCAUAGGGAAAAGGUCAGAUAAACACAAAUUUACGCAGGCGCGACAAGACUCCAACCCAUGUGUGGGAAUCACCUGGUUGUGUAUGUGUCUGUCAGGGCCUGAUGUGUGCGCAUGCAUGUGUAGGUUGAGCACUUGAGCGUGAGAGUGUGCGUUGGUCGUGUGGUGUACUGGUGUGUGCAUGCAUGCGUGCAUGUGUGCGUGUGAGGGUUGCGUGCGUGCAUGGCUGCGUGUGUACGUGUGAGUGUUGCGUGCGUGCGUGGGUGCAUGUGUUCGUGUGAGUGUUGCGUGCAUGCAAUUCGUGUGCAUGUGAUGUAUAAUCACCACACCAGCUCCUGUGUGUUAAAACAGACGGCUCAGCAUACCAAUACGAGGCCACCUUGUCCGCUGUGCCCGCGGUCAUGACUUCGAACCACCGUCCAAUAUUUUUUUCAUUCUUACUAGCAAGAUGCCCGUGCGUUGCACAUAACAUCAAGAUGCAUUUGUAUGACUAGUUUAUCUUGUGAGAGAAAAGGAUGAACGAGGGAAGGCCUUAUUUGCAAAUGUGGUGUCGGAGUAAAUGGCCACGGGUAGCCCAAUCGACUACCCCUGGUUCUUCAGAAAAAUUAUCAGGCCUUUGGGCCUUCAAGCACUCCAAGCAUUUGGGCCGCCUUCCCUGGCCGGCUAUCUCUGAAGCCGACUCCCGGAAGGCGACCCAGCCUCGAGCAACCUCUCCCCAGGACGACUACGGGGUGGCCGACUCCAAGAAGCCGGCCAAGAAGGACGCCGGCUCCCAGCAGCCGGCCGAGACCACAACCACCAAAGCUGUUCCCACAUAACGGCGACAUGACGGGGUGUGGCCACAGUGCGGCCCACUACCCCCGAAGCCCGAGGCGGGCAUGGCCACAGGAGGCCGUACGGGACGGCCGUCUCCCGUGCGGCUCGGCACUGUAGCCAUGCUGGCCUCAACGUCACCCACGACAGACUCCUGUACGGACCGCGGGCGGCGGGCCCCUUCAGCCAGAGAGAGGCAUGAAGGCGGCCCGGCCUUUCCCAGUCGGCCAAGAGCGUAGCCGGCCCCCAGAAGCCGGCUACUCCCUUCCUCGAAGCAGGAGCCCCAUUAAGGAGACAAGACGAGGUAAGGCUACAGUGAGAGCCCCCGAGGCGGCCCACUGUAGCCACGCUUACCUCGAAAAAGCCCUCGUCAUCAGAGGCGCGGCUACAGUAAGCAGCCGCCGACAAGACCCUGGGCGGUGGGGCCGGCCUGUCGACCAAGUAGCCGGCAGCCGGCGGGACCCACCAGCCGGCGGAGAAGCCGGCGAGCGUAGACACUGACGGCUGGGACCAGAGCCCAGCCGGAUUACCAUUGUACCCCCGGGGGGUAGGCCUAUAUAAACCCCCCGGAGCACCCAUGCAAAGGGUUCGCUUCCAAGCAUAGUUGGCCUCUGAGCAUAGGGUUGCCUUCUUAGCAUAGCACACACACCAUAGAUAGAGAGAAGCAAGAGCUAGCCUUGUUCUUCUUCUCCCUUGAUCCCAACAGCUCUAGGAGCGAUUGUAGCCACCUUUCAUCGAUCUAGUGAUCAUGCGGAGACCCAGCAGAGCAGACCAACCACCCGACAUGUGGAGAGGUGUGUGGGUACCUUUUUGCAAAAUUGCCAUAGUUUCUUUCCUAUCCGUCAGAUAUAAAUCGGACGGCCUAUAUUGCAGGAUGGCAGGCGCACCAUCAUCACCAACUCUGUUUUUUAUAAGAGUGUAUUUUAUGUAUUUUAUAAGAGUGUAGAUGUAGAGUAGAUACAAGUCGAUAGGUGGGCACGAUGGUAGUGAGAUAAUGUGAUGCAACACUAGAGGUGCCACAUGGAGCGUUUAACUGGUCAACUAGUCAUGUCAUGAGCAAAUACAGAGUUGUACGGUGAGCUCGUGACUGUAUAAUAACCACUAAACGUAAAUGGUGACCGUAAUGAGUGGAUUCUGAAGUCCAAUGUAUGUAUCGUGCUUUCGCUUCAAAUACAAUGAUCGUCCUUGCAUAUAUUGCGAGAGAAAGAUGAAACAUGCGUGAAUUUUCUGGGGGCUUAUUUUUAGAGGACCUGGAGAUAGUUUUGUGUGCAUACGUGAAAGGGGCGUACAGGGGGGUAUGCGAUGGAGAGAGAGAUGCUCUUCGUUUCUCUUUAUUAUGACUAACUUUGUAUAUAGUAUAAAAAUAUACAAAUUCACAGUGCAAAAUAAAUAUCAUUGUGGGCACCAUGCAAUGCAAAUUAGCGUUCGUACUCCUCCAUAUAACUUUGUAAUGUUGUAUAUAUGUAGAAACUCUAAAAUAAUUUUUUGGCCACACUAUAUUCAAAAGGAAUGUUGUAUGCGAAAUAAACGUGAAGAGAGGGCUUUUUAGAUCAAUGGGGUACGUGAUGUAACAUGUGUGAAUGUGUAGUUGAUGCAUUUGGCGGGGCCUAGAGAGGUAUGUGUGUGUAUUACGUAUUCGAGAGAGACAUGGAUAGAGGGGCCGACCGGGGGGGACGUGGGAGAGAUAGCACGAGAAAUGAGAGUGGUCUAGAGAGAGAGAGACGAAUAUGACGUCACGACAAGAGAUUCCAUUCCCUUGAGUGUGUAUAUGCAAGGGGGGAGGGAAUAGAGGCACCAGAAGAAAUUUUCUGUGUGUGUGGUGUUUGUGUUGGUAUGUGUGGGUGUGAGAAGAUAAUGAGACGUGGGGGCAGAGGGUGUGUCACCGCGUGAGGUCUGGUGGGUCGAGGUGAGGCCCUUCGUUCGGUUCCGACCUGCGCCACAUUGGUCGGCCCGUGACGCAUUUAGGAAGACCCAUGGAUGACUAGUCGUACAAGACAAAGAUAGCAGAAUUGUGAAGGACUCUAUGUCCACUGACAAAGCCGGCUAGGAUUUGUAACCCUAGGUUCUCGGACUAAGGUAACCCCUUUAUCUCUGAUAUUACUAUUCAUCCAACCUAACUUUAAGGGGCAUCCUACGGAAUGCUCUGCUAGAAUCAUACUCGUCGAUUAGGAAGAGAGGUGUGAGACAAUGCGUGAGAGACAGGCGUAAAGAUAAUGUGCGUACAUGAGACACGUAGGCAGGUCCAUGUAUAUAGAAAGGGUCGAUGAGGAUUGUGCGUGUGUAUGUUUGCGAGAGGAAGAGUGCUUGUGAUAAAGGUCAGUGAAAACAGUUGUAAAUGGUUACGAGAGGGAGGGAGGGUUAUAUCUAGAGCAUGUGUGCGAGAAAGACACCUCGGGAGAGAGUGUGUGAGCAUGUGUGAGAGACCACCGAUGAAGAGUGAAACUACACGUAAAAUACUGCUCUACACAUUGAUUAAAGAUAUAAAUUGUAUCCAAAUAUUAGGAUGGGAUCAUGAUAUUUGCAAUUCGCGUAAGGAGCGGUCAUUGAUCCAUCAGACAUCUAGAUUCUAUCAAUUUGAGCAUGUCUAUGUUAUUAUUCGACAUAAUUGAUCCACAUAGUUAGUAUUUUGAACUCCAGACAAUGCAUUGCUUUAGCAAUCGAAUAUAAAUGUGAGUAUAGUUCUUGUUGUGUGUGUAAAGCACAAUAUACAUACGAAAGUUACACAAUGGACAUUAUAAAUAGCUACCUAUGAACUAGCAUACAUUUGAAUUCAACUUAAGGUGGUUUAAAAAAAUCGAAUUCAACAUGAAGUCCAUUCAAUUAUUUGAAUUUGAUAUCAUGGCAUUUGUAAACCAUACCUAAAUUAUGGGGGCACCAAUCUUUGCUCUGAUUUUGUACAUAAUAGCAUAUGUAGUCGUGUACAAAAUAGAUUCAAAUUUAGCUCCUCCAUUCCAAAAUAAUGGUAGUUAUAGGAUUUUCAAGUGUCAAAAUUUCAAAAAGAAGCGGAUAAUUUAAUGAGGUUUUCAAACAUACAAGGUCAAAUAUAACGUUCUCUAUUUAGGUCAAUCCUCAUAGUUUAAGAGUACUCUAAACGUGAAUGCUUGUGUUUCAAAAUUUCGAACGAAGCGCCAAAAGAGCCUCUGCUCGCCCGAAACCGCGUGAGACCAAUGUUUGGUAGUACAAGGAAAUUACUUUUCUAAUAACUCCGACCCGUGAAACCUACCGGCCCGACGUCCAAAGGUCUAAACCGGGGUAGGUUUGUAGCUUCAUCUAGACGCCACGCAACCGCAUCCGAAAAACAUUCACACACAAUGGCCGCCUAAGCACACAUGCGCGCAGCCGAAAUCGCUCCCGCCCACUAUUUGGGAAACCUGGGAUUACCAUCCUACCCCCGACCCGCAGUAGGUCUGAAAUUUAAGAGGGGGGCAAAGUUUGUACUUUCCCCAAAUUUCAAACAAGCGCGUCCCAUCUUCUGUUCAAAAAAGCCAAAAACAAGCGCGUCCCAGACCGAAACAUGGUUCCCCCACCCGUCCGAUUCCCCAUUCGUACUCCGUGGGCGCCAAAACUACCUCUCCACCAGCCGCGAAACCCCGGCGUCCUCCGUCCACCACCCCAUCCCACCCAUCAACUGCCGCCCUCCUCCAUCACGCCUGAGCCGAUACCCCGACGUCGUCAUCCACCGCAACCUCAACCGCAACGCCCUCCACGGCUAGUAGUUGAAGCCGAGGCCGAGCCGUCCGUACCCGAGCCAGUUCAACCACGUCGUCCUGCGCCUCACCACUGCCGCUCCAACUUGGCCACCCUCCACCGCACCGGAGCUGUUCCUGCUACGCCGUCCUUCGCCGCCUCGGAUCUGCUUCCCCUCCGCCGACAUACGGCCACGGCAACACAGUCAACAAUUUGGCCAUGGGUUCGUCCAAGCCUGCACCCUCCAGAACAUCGGUUUCCCCGGUAAGAAGAAGAAGAUCGGCGCGACAUGUGGAGGUGACCACACCGGCAACCGAAAAGGGUACUCCCCUUCCCUUAUUCGUGCAAAUCUUACGUCUCUGCUUGCAUGGUAUUCAUCCCACAGAAGACACUAGUUGACCGCUUCUUCUUGAUACUAGAUGUUCCUAGUAACUCGCGAUGCACAAGGUUUCUCCUCAUAUACUAUAUCACCUUAGCUAGAGGUCCGUCGCCCCCCUGAAUUUCAAUUUCUGGCCAGUUGAUUCCCAAUUAACGGAAGCAUUCCCCGGCGUAACAUGCGCUUGUACGCCUAUUACGCCGGGGAAGCAGCGCCUUGGUGUUUAUCUUAGGGGCGUGUGCGGCCUAGAGCUACUGGCGCCCGAUCUGGAGGUCGGCCGGGAUUAAAGGGAUGGCCUGGGGGCGCUGCCAAGCACGGCGGUGGUGUGAGGUCGAUGGGAGGGCAGGGCGGCGGAGGCAGGGGUCUGGGCCGGUGGUCGCUAGCGGUUCGAGAAAGAUCGUCAACAGUAACUGGCGGGAGGUAGACGAAGGCCAUCUGCCCGUUCCUUAUAGAUCGGACGGUUCAUUAAAAAACCGACUGACCUAUUUAUUUUUAGUCGACUGUUAUGUUAGAUAUGACCACAUGUGGUGGUGUGCUGGAGGAGUACCUGCAUUUCCUGUGCUCAUAUAUUACAAAAUCAUACGGAGUAGAAUCUAAUUUUGUUUGCCAUGCAAUGUUGUAGAGCUAUCAUAUGUCUCAUGCCAUCUAUUUUUCAGCCACCUGCUAUCUGCUACUUUUACAAUGCACUAAUUCUGCACACACUUCACCCUUACUCUCACUAUUGUGUUUUUAUACAAGGGUAUUUCAGACUCUGCUGCCAGGAGAGAAGCCAAAAAGAAAAGAGAGAAGUCGCUCCAGCUUCGUGUGCGAGUAGGCAAGACACGUUACAGCGCUAUAAAGGGUGCAGCGUCAGCAGAUGGAGACGGUAAACGUAGCUCUGGAGUUGAUGACCUUGCUCGCAAUGAACCACCAUCCCAGGUGCUUGCUUUAACUUCACGGUCUCAUAUGUGGUUGCAUGUUCCAUAUGGUGUCUAGCUUGUAUUCGAAAGGCCGAAGUCGGUAAGAUAAGGAAAGAUUUUUUUUACAUGAACCACCAUCCCGUGAGCAGCAGAAGACAAAUAGCUAGUCAGGGCACUGGCCGAGCCAGUGACAAGCCCAGCAAAGAUAGGCAUCACCUGGAAGCCAACUAAAAAGCUGCGAUGGUGGCGAAGCAGCCCGCCUCCCACCAGGCUCUCAGGUCCUAGAUGAUCAUGCUCACCACUCCAGCCGGAUGUCUAGCUUGUAUUGCUUCCAAUUUGGUUAAAUUGCAUCUGCUUAGCUUAGACAUUAUACCUUUGAAUAUGACAUGCCUUUCUGUUUUUGGUACAUACUAGUACAUCUGUGUAUUAACCAUGUUCUUACAUCAAACUAAUGUUCUUGUGUAUCCCUCAUCAAUCACUUAUGACGAGGCAGGCAGGCAAGGCGACUACUCCUCAUUUAAAGAAUGCAGCGUCAGCCUCCCGACAUGAUUCUCAAGAAACAGAAAUGCUAGAUUAAGAUAGUGAACAUAGCUCUGUAGUUGAUUACAGCAUUUCCCCUACACUAGCAUCGCAGGUGCUUGCUCUAACUUGGCAGCGUGAUAUGUGGUUUCAUGUUGCAUAUGGUGUCUAGAUUGUAAUUCUUCCAAUCUGGUUAAACUGCAUGUGCUAGUCUGCUUAGCUUAUACAUUAUACCUGUUAAUGUGACAUGUCUUCCUGUAUUUAGUACAUAGUACAUCUGUCUAUUAAGCAUGUCCUUACAUAAAACUAUUGUUUUUUUGUAUCCCGCAUCAAUCAACAUGCGAGACACCUUUAGUAUAUGCAGUGCGAUAUUAGUUGCAUCUUUCAUAUGAUUUAUAGCAUGCGCUGCUUCUAAUUUGUUGAAAUUCCAUUUAUGAUGGGACGCUUUUAACUUGGCAGAGUCAUAUUGGUUGCAUCUUUCAUGUGGUGUGUAGCUUGCAUUGCUUCUUAUUUGCUGGAAUGGUUUCUGUUUAGUUUACACAGACAGUUGUGAACAUGCCAUGUCGUCCUGUUUUUCGUACAUAUUCCAUCCUGGUAUCAUGUGUUUGCCUUACAUCAAAGUAGUGAUUAUCAGUAUCAUGCAUGAAUGAGUUCUGAAGAGAGAAUUUUAUUGCUUUUUCUUGUCGGUUUUACUUGACAAUUCAAAAUCAAUAAAGCGGAAGGAAGUUAGCAAGGCAACGGAUAAAGCUGCUCCUUCCGAACGGAGGGCCUCUACAGUUUCUACUCCUCCACACCCGCAAGAUGAUUUCCAAGACAACACAUGCAUAGACACUCAACAAAGCUGUGUUUAUGAUGAGCACAUCUCCCCUAGUGCGGCAUCAGCGGUGCUCCCUCUAACUUGGCACUGUUAUAUGUGGUUGCAUGUUAUGUGUGAUGUCUAGCUUGUAUUGCUUCUAAUUUUGUUGAAUUCCAUCUGCUUACUUUACACAUUAUACUUGAAUAAGACACGUGUUCCUGUUUCUAGAACAUACAAUAUCUGUCUAUCACACCAUGUUCUUACAUCAAAUUACUACUGUUGUGUAACCUGCAACAAUCACUUAUCAUAAGACAUGUUUGACUUUGGAGUGUGAUAUAGGUUACAUCUCACAUUCUUUUCUAGCUUGUACUACUAAUUUGUUGAAAUGGCACUUAUGACGGACAGUUUUAACUUGGUAGAGUGAUAUUCGUUGCAUCUUUCAUAUGGUGUCUAGCUUUCAUUGCUUCUAAUUUGUUGAAAUGCCUUCUCCUUAGUUUACACAUCAUAAGCUGUGAAUAUGCAAUGUUGUGAAUAUGCAAUGGCACUAAUGACGAGAGACCUCUAACAUGGUAGUGUGAUGUUGUUUGCAUCUUGCAUAUGAUUUAUUUCUUGUACUGCUUCACAUUUGUUUAAACGACAUUUAUGAUGAGACACUGCUAACUUGGCAGAGCGAUAUUUGUAGCAUCUUUCAUAUGGUGUCUACCUUCCAUUGCAUUGCUUCUAAUUUGGUGAAAUGUCUUCUUCUUAGUUUACACAUCAUAGUUCUGGUUAUCUCUUCCGUCCUUUUUUUCAUACAUAUUACAACCUCCUAUCAUGUGGUUGUCUAACAUCAAAGUUCAGUUCGUCUGCAUCACGCAUCAAUUUGUUCUGAAGAACUAAAUUGUUAUUCGUUUUUCUUGUCGGCUUGACUUAACAUGGCACAGAGAAAGAGGAAGAAACACAGAAUGGCAGGGAAUGAGAAGCGGAUGAAUCCUGCAGAUUCUGCUGGUACUGAUGGUGCAAUAGAAGGUCAAAGUCCAGCGAAAAAUUCUACAAACACGACAUCCCAUGCUACACGAGUUGCAAAACAAGAAAAACAAAAACAAAUAGCUGCCACCAAACAAGCAGAGACAGCCCUAGUUCUUGCAACACCUACCACAGUACUACCAGCUGCACGACUUACUCGUGCGUCAACUGAGCUAGCAGCACGUUCCCAAGCUCCCUUGCCACUUGACACUACUUCCCAAGCACUCUUGACACAAGACGAGUUGGCAAUAUCAGAUGAACCUUGUGAGCUUCAGCAGCAAGAAGGCAGUUGCUGGAGUCAAGUUAUAGUUGCAUGCUUCUUUAUAUGUAGUCUCACAGUUUGAUGUACACUAACACUUCCUAUAUUCAUUGUUGGACUAGCACCUAGGCGCAAGAGGAAACAAACAUCAGGGAUAAUGCUCGAUAGGUUAACUAAAUCUAGAGGAGGAAGAAUGGAGAUCCGUUUUGAGGCAGGUUUAAAAAGGCCACGUGAUGCUACAGAGUCACCAAGUUAGUAUCAGAGGCAGCGGUUGCCGUUAGGUGUCAUGUACGUAUCCUCCCAACAUGGAUUCAGUACAGGAAUGACAAAGACGAAACCCAGUUCAACACCUUCCUCGACCAUUUAUCUGUAAGUAUGGUUAUGUAUGGAAACUAGUAAUAUCCUCUUGCUCUGUCCCAUACUUUCUAGGUUGCUGAUAAUGAGACUCCCAUAAUUUUCAACAGAUGAGGUUCAAGUUGGAUAGCCAAGAUGAUGCAACCAGACAAGCUUGCACCCAUGUUUUCAAGUCUGCUCUGCGACAGUAUCGGUAUAACUUGAGGAAAACUCACUUUGAAGGCAAGGCUAACAGUGAACUUUCCCAAACAUCUCCAGUGGAAAAUAUAUCGGAUGAAGACUGGAGGGGCCUUGUUAAACACUGGUCUGAUCCGAAGUAUCAAGUACAUUAUAUAUAUGUGAUCAAAUCACAUGUUGAAGUCCGAUUUACGCAUGUGCCACACAAAUCUAUCUUCUUGUAGGUGAACUGUUCAAAUAACAAGGCCAACCGUACGAAAGUGAAAUUCCAACAGACGACAGGAUCUCGUAGCUAUAUUGCACACUGCGAGGCUCUUGUAAUUAGCUGCUGUUUCACUCUUUUCGCUGUACCAUAUUAUCAGAUCUAUAUUGACUUGUUCGAAAUGCAGAGGAAAGCCCGCAAGGACCAAAAAGUACCUGAACCAAAUGUUGUGGAAAUCUUCAAGGACUGUCACACCAGCAAGAAGAAGGGCAUGACUACACCAGUCAAAGCCGCUGUUGUAAGUUCUUAGUCCUCAUGCCUUUUAACUACUACUUACUCUGACUUGUGCCUUGAACUGCAUGGUUUGCAGCCAAUGUCUAUUACUCUUUUCAAUUUUAUACACAAUUGUCUUAGCGUAUCAUUGCACCUUACAAGGUUUAAAAGAGAGGAGUGGUGUUCCUUUGAUCUUGACCCGUAAUCUAGUUCCGUGCUGGACUUGCCCACACAACGUUACAAUUGCCUGUUUGUCUGUUCUCAGUUGUUUUGUGAUAUGAAUGAUGUCAUACUAUGCUUACCGUAUUAUAAACUUCGUCUCUUUAUCCUUAGCCCGCAAUACAAUGUGAAGAAAUAGACAAUACAUUAGCGAUGGUACAUGGUCAUAUGUUUGGAACCUGGUUUUAUUAUGUACUUUGCAAUAAAAUACAACUAAUAUUUUACAUGGGUUCACCAGAAUAAGUUCUGUAUAUAGACCAAAGCUAUUUUGUUUGGUUUUGCUGCCUCCUUAAUAUCUUCUGUUCUGGUACUACUAAUGUAAAACCUCAACUUUUCAGCAAGCUAUGGAAAAAAUGGUGGAACCGCCACCUUCUGAAGGUGGCGAGGCAACUAUAACCGCAAUGUCAGCUCUUGCUGCAGUGGGUCAGUACCUGUCCACUAACAGUGCCAAAAGCACGUUCCUGCGUAAUACUGGGUUGGUUGUUAAGGCAAUAUCGUCCAAACUGCCUCAUGAUCAAGAUAUGCAAGCUCAAAGCAAUGUUGUAUCUGCGCUCCAGACACAAGUCCAUUCCCUAACAGAGACCCUUUGUGAAACAAGGAGAAACAUUUCUCAAUGUCGUCAAGAUAUGCACGGUUUUGAAACCAGACUAUCAGACAAUUUCUAUGUUGUUCAGGGGCCUAGGGGAAAUGAAGGCGAGGGUUAUGGUGCUCCAUCAGACAAUACAGCAUGAAAACGUAACAGUCAGGUCAAAUGAACUGAGCUUCUGAACUUCUGGUGGUGCAUUUAUCUGCUAGACUGUUAAGUUUUAUGCCAACCUUCCUUUUGUUAUAUAGUUGUAAUUUGUUUUGGUGCGAUACAAAAUUUAUUCUUAACGUGCAGCCACCGGCUGAAGAAAACAGCAAGCCAUUUUUGUAUAGUGUAGGGUGUUCCCUAUAUUUGCACUGGUGGCGAUCUUUGAUGCCGAGUGGAUGUAAACUAUGCAAUCGCCUUAAUAGCCUAGCGUUAGUUUCGGCCUUAUUUAUUUCCUAGUCUUCUUUUUCCCUAGUUUGCUACUGGCCGCAACUACCAUGGGCCAUAUACGGGCCGCAGGAUCCAUGGGUCUCCUACGGGCCGUCGAUAAAUGGGCCUGUAAUCGGUGGGCCUCGGGCCGUCGGAUAAAUGGGUCUACAUGGGCCGUAAUCGGGCUUAAUUGGUAUCGGCCCAGCAUGGUAACAGGCCGUAGGACAGCAAAGGCUUAAUUUUGUCACAGGCAUAACGGGUUGUUAAUGGGCCAGAAUAUAGGACGGGCUGGAAACGGUGCAACGGGUUAACAGGCCAGAAACGGGCCGACUCUUGCCAUGGGCCGAAUUUGGCCCAUUAGGGUAACAGGCCAGUAACGGGCCAACUCUUGCCAUGGGCCGAAUUUGGCCCAUUAGGGGAACAUGCCAGUAACGGGCCGACUCUUGCCAUGGGCCGAAUUUGGCCCAUUAGGGGAACAUGCCAGUAACGGGCCGGAAGUAAUCGAGGUCCGAAAAGGAGCCCAAGAACGUAUGGGCCGUCAAUAGGCCGAAAGCUAACACGGGCUGGAAACAGCCCAUGUAAAUCACGGGCCGUUAACAGGUAUAAAGAAAAUUACUGUUCAUUAUGGGCUAGAGUCACCGUGGGCCUGUAAAGGGCCGAAAGAUACGAAGGCCUCAUAUGGGCCGAAAGACGUCGUGGGGCAUACAUGGGCCGAAAGUGAAAUGGGCUGGUGUUAUAUUCGACGGCCCACAUGAGGUUGUUGGGUCGAUUUCCUUUAGGGCCUAACGGGCCGUAAAAUGGGCUAUUUGCGAAGAGACCGUUAACAGGCUUUUCUUGGGCCAGCCCGUUAACUUUUGACCAAGUCAAACGGGCCGGCUUUGUAAGCUAAAUGGGCCAGUGGUGGGCCGUGGCACGUGUCGACAUAUCAUAGGCGCCUAUCUGACCCACUGACGAGCUGACACGUGUUUCGUCCGGCCAAUAAGAAUUUUACACGUGGAAAUUUCCCAUUGGUCGGGGCUGUUAACGGGUUAUCGGAUCCAAAACCCGACCCGAUAGCUUAACGGCGUUCCGUUACGGUGGAUGCCACGUGUCGGUCACCCUUGACGAAAGCACUUCUGUGACGCGCGAUCUAUCGUCAUGAAAGUGGACACUUCCGUGAUGAUAAUUUUGGUAAUGUCAUGGAACACUUCUACGACAGCACAGGUAUGACUAUCUUGAUUCUGUCAUAAAAUCGUCAUGGAUGUACAUGCAUGACAAAAAACGCGACCUACUAUGACAAACAUGUAUCAUCACGGAAGUGUAUUUUUUUGUAGUGGAUGGCUCAGAAUUAACUUAUUAGGAGAAAAAUCAUCUGAUCUCAUUUAUUACUGAUCUUGAGAAUUACAAUAUCUAUUAUCAAACUCCUCCACAUUAUGGUCAAUACGUGCCACUAGUGCACGUGUUGAACUACGGUAACAUCCAUGGAGAUGUCAUGGUAAGAUUUUAUUAUUAUUACGACAUCCGUGCAUCUUUUGCAUAAAUUCUUCUAAAACUCAACUACAUUGCUAACUACGAAGUUAUUACUAUGUUUUUCAACAGAAUAUCCCGAAGGAUUGUGUGCCUCAUCUAAUGUUUCCGAAUGGUCGCCUUGAUGUUUUGAACUUACGCCAGGUCAUCCGACGAAUCACUCUUGUUCAUACCAAAUUUCUAAAACCGAUGAAGACAUGACAAUCAAAGAUUGGAAAAAAUGUAUGGUCUAUUGUAGGGAGCUACUUGGAAGCAACAUUGUGCGAAGUGCAAGCAUUGGAGACAGGAUAAUGUCCAUUCUCCAUAAUGGAGAGUCGGGGCCUAUCAUAUUUUACCUAAGAGAAGUUAGUAGUUCCUAUAAAAAAAGAGUAGGUCUUAGGUUCAAUGUGUUAUUAUGUGUUACAAUGUGUUAGCUAGAGUUGAUGAUGAUGAUCAUGAGGAGUUGUUAUAUGACAAUGAGGAGUUGUUAAGUGACAAUGAUGAUUAUGAGGAGUUGUUAUAUGACAAUGAUGUAUUAUAAUGAUAAAUUGUUAAUGAGAUGAUGAUGAUGAUAUGAUGAUUAUGAUGUAAAAACAAUCUCUAAAUUUCUACUGUAUGAAAACUUGUAUAAUGAUGUAUGAAUACGACAUAAAAAGAAAAA